CUGAAUUGUGGUACGAGCUUAAAGGUGCCUCCCACAGUUGAGGUCCUCCUCAAAAUAACUCGUGAUUAAUAUAAAAUAAAAAAUAAAAAUGACAAGUCGUGCUCAUAUUUAUACAAAAUGGACAUGACAUUUUAGGGUCUCAACAUCAAAGAGAAAAAAAUCUUGGAAACUGAUUCAACAAUAUCAAUCCCAAAAAGUAGCAUUUACAUCACCUGGUUGGUGCACGAAGCAAUAAGAUUUUUUAUUAUCCACCAGAGCACCUUUGAUUAUUCAAAAACAAAAAAUAACAAACCAAAAAUAAAUAAAAAAAUCAUCCAUCGCCAAAUAGACACUUUAUACAACAAACUACACGCCAGACGCCACCAAAUAUCAUUUUAUCUUUACAAGACCAACACGCCAACCAACAACAAAUAGCUGUACGGCCAAGGCGGAUGUACGGUACAGCAGCCUACUCUUUACAGUUAUUACACAAAAAAAAAAAGAAUAAAACCAAUGAAAACGGUCCAGCUAGGGCCGUAACAAACAGUCGGCUCACAUCGACGCGCUCUUCACGAGUGCACCGCCACGUCUUUCCCUCGGGAAUCCACUGCCGCAACCGCCGCCGCCGUCGACGCCAGCUUACUCGAAGCGUACCGAGACGAAAAAUCUCUUCGAAAUCCGGUGAACUCGUCGUCGUUGUCGAAAUUACUGUCUUCUUCGAAGUUGAGGGAGUAACUCAAGGGGUCGUACUGGAAUUUCCCGUGGUGGCUAUGACUGUUUCCGCUUCUGUUUCUGUUGAACCUUCUGAUGAAAGUUUUCCACUUCGGUCCAGCGACGAUCUCAGACCACUCUCGGACUCUCUGAAAGGCCGCUACCGCGGGGGCCCACCACCGGUCGUGGGACUGAACUCGCUGCCACCAGGCUACUCCCGCGGCGGAGGAGGAUUGGCGACGGGAGUUGAAGCACGGGAAAAUGAAACAGCAGCGGGAAUUGCGGAUCAGAACAUUGGACGUUUCGUCUAUCGCUUCAAGGUCUCUUUGGGACAUCGCUGUCGCUUCUGCUUCAGAGGCCAUUUGACGGAACAUAUGAUGAAACGGGACGAGUUGUGUAUGAUAACAUUAUAUACCAUCAAUAACGCGUGAGGGUAUUUCGGUAAUUGGAUUUUGAGCCGUUGGUAGUAUUGAGAGUUGAGCGAGCGGAAAAUGAGUCAACAGAUACCAGUGGAAGCUCUAUCUGGGGUCCACUGUUAUGAAGGGUCCAGAUGGGUCUGAUGGUGCGAGUUUGAUAGGAUUCUACAGCGCAGAGAUUUCGCCAGCUGUCACUACCUAAUCAUCUCUUAAUUAUUAUAAAUUUAUAAUUAGACUAACAAAAAUGAAAUGACAACAGAAUUAUCUUGUUAAUUUAUUUUUUAAUUAUAUGAAAUUAUUACUCAUAUUAAUAUGAGAUUACAUAUUGAAAUUACAUUAUAUUACUAUUAAUAUUUAAUAUCAAAUAAUUAUUAGGACUAAUCUACAAUAAAUCUUAUACAUCACUGUUCAUAUUUUACCCUAUUUAAUAUUUUAAGGACUUUUACUCCAUUUAUAUUUUAAAAAUAAGAAAUCUCCAUCAUUAAAGAAAAAAUUAAGCUAUCACCAUGUUUUGUGGAGACUCCAUUGCGAGGGAAAGGCUCCAGGUGUUUCUUUCAUAUUAUCUUUUUUUUGGGCCAAGGGUUAGGUUCAAAUAGGAAGGGAAAUCAUGGAUUAAAUUAUAAAAAUAAUCGGCGGAGGAAAAAGGAAUCCUACCAAAAUAGAUGGAUGUCUAAUUCGCUUGAUUAUUUAUUUGGUCUAAUGAUAAUGGGAUAGCCAGAAAUUUCUCUAGACUUACCAUUUGCUGAUGAUCAUUAUCAACGCACAUAAGGUCAUAAUUUUAUGCGAUACAACCAAACCUUAAGAUAAAAAAAAAAAAAAAAGUACCAAACUCUACUUCAUUCUUCUUAUUUUAGCUUCGCUUGCACUAUACAAUCAAAUAAUUGAUCAGUUAUGUUUUAUGUUAUUGGUGUGGACUGUUGAGCAUGUAGAGCAUGUCAAGUUCAAUGGAAGAAAAUAAUUCGGAAUGAAUAGAAGUGUAUGCUAAUUUUGUAUUUGCUGUGAUGUGAGUUCACUAAAUGAGUGAGGGAUUGACAUAACUAUAUAACUUGUGGGAAACUAAUCCAACUUGCGUUGCUACAGUAACACGAACUAGCCAGCCAGGUAUACACCUCAACUGGCUGCACAGGUUCUCACAUUUGUCCAACCUUGGAAGAGCUUUCGCCGUCAAAGGUUAAGGGGUCCGUAUCAUAUAUAAUCCACAAAGUCAUAACUCACAAGCCAUUCCAAAUCAUUCAUUUGGGAGGAUGAGCUUUACUAAAUUUUUAAAAAAUUUAUGUUAUGUGUCUUUUAAUAGUAGUGUAUGGGUAAGAUAUAAUUUCUUUUAUUUUUUUAUGAAAAAAUAUCCACCGUCCACCCGUUUUUUUCCAACUUUUAUAAAAAUACACAAUUCUUUUUUUUUUUUUACUGAAAUCCACCUAAAGUUACAUUUUGUUUCACUUUUUCACUUAUGUUUGGAAUCCGUUAAAAAAACUAACAGAAACUUAAAAAAAAUGAUCAUUUUACCCACCAUAACGAAAAUAAUAAUUUCACCCUAAAAAUUACCAAAAAUAAUCAAAUUAAAUCUAAAUAUUUUCCCCAUCGGUUAAUAAAGAAAUUAAUUUCACAACCAUUAAAUGCAAGUUUUUUUUUUUAAUAUGUCUGUAAUUAGAAUGCUAAAUUAUAAUAGUAGUAUUAAAAAUAGUCCAAUCUCACAAACCAUCAAUUGAAUUUAAAAUAAGUAGAGUUUUAUUAUUUAUUGAGUUAUAAUCUCUAGUAGUUAAGAUUUUUUUAUACUUCAUUUACAUACCAAUAAUGAUAUUUAUCAUUAAAUCUGAUUAUUUUUGACAUUUAAGGUGAAAUUGUAAUUUUCGUUUUGGGGGUAAAAUGGUCAUUUUUUUAAGUUUCCGUUAGUAUUCUUAACGGAUUUCAAACGGAAGUGGAAAAGUGAAACAAAAUGUAACUUUAGAUGGAUUCCAGCAAAAAAAAAAAAAAAGAAUUGUGUAUUUUUAAAAAAAGUUGGAAAAAACGGGUGGACGGUGGAUAUUUUCUCUUUUUUAUUUAUUAACAAUUAAUCAACAAUUGAGUUAUUUGUUCAGGACAUGAUCAAAUCAGAAGAAAAUCAUGAUCCAUACAUUUGAUACGAAACACAAAUGUAGGUUCAAGUUUCGAAGGGAUUAGGAACCAAAGAGUUUUAUACCAUAAAUAGCAGGUCAGCUCGUUCUUGCUCUAAAUAUUCAGAUUUCCCCAUAACAAAACUAUUUAGACAGAGCCCUAACAUAAUAUAGAAAAAGAAAUUUCAAUUGUAUUGCAGGGAUGACAUCCAGAGGCGGAUGUAGUGUAGGACUAGUGGGGGCUCAAGCCCCCACUGAAAAUUUUUAUUUAAAAGAAAAUUUAAUAAAUUUUUAAAUAAUCCAUGUCAGAUUAUCAAAUAACUCCGUUAUUUCAGUUUCUACAACCACAAUAGAGAGAACAUUUUCAGUAAUGAAAUUUGUGAAGAAUGAACUUCGCAAUUGGUUGGGAGAUGAAUGAAUAAAUAAUAAUUUGAUUGUUUAUAUAUAUAAAAAAAGAUGUAUUUAAUAGUGUUGAUAAUGAAUCUAUUGCAUAACGUUUUCAGAAUAUGAAAUUGCGUAAAGAACAAUUGUAAAUGUGUUAUAAAAAAAUUUAUAUAUUCAAGUUUCAGUUUUUAUAUUUUGUUAUCAUUUAAUUUAGCCCCCGAUAAAUUAAUUUUCUAGAUCUGUCACUGAUGACAUCUACAGUUUUUUUCCCCCUCUGAAAGGAAAGAGUAAUACUAAAAAAAAAAAAAAAAACCUCUUUUGACAAGUGCUAUUGGGCCCUCAAAAUUUUCUCGCAUAAUUGGGUAGGGAUGGACACCUCUCUCGCAAAUAUAGGUAAAACAGACAAUAUAAUUGAUCUAAGUUAAUCCCAACAUAUUCUUAUUUAUAAACAUUAAUAGACCCAUUAUGGUAAAAUAUAUAAAUAUAGAAAUAAUUAAAAAAAAAAACUCUUUUACAAACUAUUAUGUACACAGUGAUAUAGUAUAAGUCUACAAGACACCAAGGUAGCGUUUACAUUUUAGAUUGGAGUAAAAAUUAUGAAGAGUGGAGAUCCUAAGAUUGAGAUGGAAGUAAGUUAUUUACUUACACUUGAAUGGAAGUAUAGAAUGAAAAUCAUAAUCUAAUUUAUGUAUUUACUUUAUCUUGUAUUAGGAGUAAAUAAUUUCAAAUUACAAUUUUACUAUUAUUUAAAGAAUUAUAAUUUUUAAUUACAAAGUUAAUAAAAAAUAUAUUUGAUCAAUAAACAUUUAUUUUAUUAUAUCUGUAAAUUUAUAAUAAUUAUUAAUAUUUUUAAUUAUCUCCUUCCAUUUUCUAGUUCCCUCCAUUUUUUUCAUUUUCUAUCAAAUUUCCCGCUUUGUUUUCUUGAUAUUCUACCACUGCAUCUACAGCAGGUUUGCCACCUGCUUUGUGCAGCGUUUUGUUAGCAGUUUACAGCAUUCUUGGGUUGCUGCCAUUUAUUACAUUGACGUUUUCACCCCUCUCUCCCACGUGUUCCACUUCCAUCCGUACUCUGUCGUCUUCCUUGUUGAAUUAGACAUAUUUUCCACAAUAAAACCUUAAGAUUGUUAAGGAAAAGAGGAAUAAUAUGACAGAUCAAUGGUUUUGGGGCGUGUAUAACAGUUUCCUUCAAGUUUUAUUUGCACCCACUCGAAAGAGUUUGCUAACAGACUGCUAUGCAAAUUUCCUCCACGAUAUUAAAAAAAAAAAUUGGAAUAUUGCAGUUAAACAACACUGAAAUAUUCACAAACUGCUGUACGGCCAAGGCGGAUGUACGGUACAGCAGACAAUAUUUAUUAUUUUUAAUUUAAUUAUGUAAAUUAAAAAUUAUCAAUAAGGGCAAUAUAAAUGAAACAUUUUUACUAUUAACAUAGUACGAAAUUAAUAUUUUCUUAGAAUAAACUAUUUAUUAUUAUUAUUAAUUAUUAAUAUCAAAUAAAUAUAAUACGAUUAUUUUUAAAUAAAUAUAAUAAUAUUAUAUUUCCAAAUAAAGAUAGUAUAUAGUAUUGUUAUUAAUUCUCUAUUAAUAUAAUAAUAUUAUUUAAAUAAAUAUAAUAUUACUUAUUUAUUUUAUUAAAUAUAAAAUAUUAAAUUUAAUAAAAGGAGGAUUGAAAAGGACCACUCCCACCUCUCCCCACAGGAGUCCCACUCCCACUCCUCACUCCAAAAAUAGGUGGGAUUUACAGAGUGAGAUUCACAAUCCUCACUUAAAAUGUUGAAGUAAACACUGAAGUGGGAGGAAUCCACACUCCUCACUUACACUCCAGAAAGUAAACACAACACAAAAUAAAAUGAGUAACAUCAAUUAGGUUUCAAUUGAACCAUAUACCAUGAGGCUCUUAAAGAAAGCAUGCAAUGUCAACAUGAUGACCAAGUUCUCAUCGUCUACAUCAAGCAACACCACAAGAGCACCAGCUCAUCAUGAGAUCUCAAUUCUCAAGAUUCAGACAAAGUUCUAAAACCAAGGAAAUUUAACAUAAGAAAAUCAAUACAAAAUAGUAGGUCAUAAGUCAUCACCAUCCUAAAAUGGAAAAUGUUGCUGACUCAUUGUUUUCAUACCUUUACCAUGGCCCCCAUCCCAUUUCAUGAUGGUAUUUUUCCACCAAGGUUAUCCCAUAGAUUAGUCGAUGAAAUCACAUUUUCUUGAAAUACUUGAUAAGUAUUUCAUAAAUAACGUAAGCAAAACACUUUCUUUCUAACCUACUGAGCAGAAGAUCGAUCCCCAAUCAUCAUGCACAUGCAUAGCAUAAACAAAGAAAGACCAAGUAACGAUCAUGAAAAUGCACUCCAAAUUUACAUAUUUUACUUCUAAUAUGCACCAAACCAAACAUAUUACUAGACAGGGCGACCAAGUAUCAUUAGCACACAACACCAUUAGACAUCAUAUUCUAGAAACCAUGAGUAAGACUUAAGAAGCCACUGCCCCAAAACCAGAGUCCCAGACUACACAAUAUUAGGAUAAGGAUAACUUGUUUCAAUAGCAGAAACCAGGGAUCUGAGCUUAGAAAGGCAGAGCUUUUCCAACCUCACCACUGUGAACACGCAAGAACACAUCACCAGCGUCAUCACAUUUCCCAGUAUCCACAGCAAUAGCACCAAAUAUGGCUCUGAAAGCACCACAAACCACAGCAGGAACCGUAGAAUUGGUCUUGGGAGAAACCCUAACCACUUUCUGCAACCCCAAAUGCAUCCCAUCAACAGCACAUGAAAUUUCGACAUUGGAAGUCUCUGAAACACGGCGGUUCAGAUCUUUCGGAGAAAUGUCAAUGUCUUUAUUUAGUAAUCGAAGUGAUACAGAUGUGUCUAUCACGUAGCCCCCUAAAAUGCUCAAUGCCCUAUUACUCUCUUCAGAGAAUGAGGAGUGGGUCAUUGCACGCCGAAGAAGGCCGAUGCUCUUGAAUGUGUAGCUGAAUAUGGACAAAUAAAUAAAUAAAAACGAAUGAGACUCAGUUCAAUUCAUGCGACAACUAAUAAAACGCUAAAUUUUAACGCGGUCAAUAGUAAAAUAAUGAAGGGAAAUUUUAAAACUGACCCAAUUUGCUUCUGCAGAGUUUGGAGAGCUGUUGCAAAGGGCGAUGAUGUUUUGAAGCGCUGAUCAUUUGCUGCGCGAACCUGCAAAUAGUUGGUUUUAUUUAUUAAUUUUUUUUCCAAACUGCUUUUCUUUCUGGGUAAGUAAAGUAGUAUUUGAUUUUAGGGUUCUAAGAAUGGACGCACCUGAAAAGAAGAGGAGAUAGCUAUGACUAGAACAGGAAGGAGAUAGAGAGUGAAGGGGCGAAGCUUCAUUUUCUCAACGUCGUCGUCAAUUCCAGUACUUUCCUCGUUAACGUUGUACUCUCCGAAGAGGCGAAGAGUAAAUUAAUAAACCCCGGACCCAGAAGAGCUGAAGAAGAACGACUUUUUCUUCCAAAAAAGAAAAGGAAAAUGCUUUUAUUUGUUAUUUACCAGACCUGAAUUACACUUUAUUAGCUAUAGAGUAGAAGCAUGAGAAUUACUAAUAUACCCUUAAAGACAGCAGCACAGAAACUAAAGAAAAUACAGGCUCAUGUCAUGGGUCGGAAAUAAAUAGCUUCUAGCCACAUUAUUACCACAGCAAAGAGCUAACCAAAACAGUAACAUUUUCCAAAUGCUUUUCACAUAUAUUAAGGAAAGGAAACUGGUAAAAUGUAUACAAGCCUGGAUCUAUUAACUGAGAUUAAUUUAUCCCCUGUGCACUAAAACUACAUUUACCAACCCAUCUUACAAAAAUGAAAGAAACAUUCCACGCCUUCAAUCCAUCCGAGAGAUCCAACCAUGCAAUGAACAAAGUUAGUAUCAAGAACCAACUUCCCGAGAGGCCCCCACUUGUGUCUUGACAGGAAAGAAUCGUUGUGUCAGCAUCCUAUUUCCACCCUGACUUUGCGUUUCGAAAUUUAAAUGUCAUUUAUUUGGAAGCAGCUGCCAACCCUUUAAGUAGUGCCAAAACAUCCUCUUCAUCAUCUAGGUAGUACCUGGCUUUGCUUGGCUUUUGCCCAACUGUGCAAGCAAAAAUCUCCGGAGCAAUAGGGAGUGAUGAACCAUAAGUUGCCUGUGAAAUGCUUUCAAACAUGUCUUCGUCAGACCUAUCAUCCCCAACGCACAAUACAAAAUCAGGUAGUUUCCCAUCACUGAUCAUUGUGGAAAGAACUUUCUCUGCGACCAACCCUUUAGUAACUCCCUGCAAAUUUGGCAGCAGAGCCGACAUUAGACCUUCGGGCUGAAAUCGAAAAAACAGAUUAAAAGAAACACAUAUACCUGCGGCUUCACUUCCACUAUAUUAUAGCCCCUCUUAACAACAACAGGCUCAUUGGCAAGGACACUUUCGAGAUGAUCUAACAGCUCCUUGGCCUGGCAUGAUCCAAAACCAGGGGCAGCAUCUUGAUAGUGCCACACCAAGGCAGUCUCCUUCUUUUCUAUAUAGGAGCCAUCAGUUGCCUCAGUAUACAAUUUCAUCACAGGUUCUGUAAUUCUUUUCCACUCAAAAUCUGCAGCUACAGUACUGGUUUCCCAUUCAGAUUUCUUAGUCCACCUGCAGCAAAGUCAAAACCAGUAAUAUUGAAAGAAUUUAAUAGCAAUUGUGGGUACAUUAUUGAAAUCAACUACUUAAAAUAAAGACACCCAAUUUGCACAGAUAAAAGUUUAACAUCCUUUCAAUAAAAGUAAAGCAAUCUAUUAAAAAAGUAAAGCAUUUCUUUUUGAACCAGGAAAGUGAGUCAUUUACAAAUGAAAAGAAAGACGAAAAAAAGGGGGUCUUUCAUAGUAGUAGUUAUAUCCUGAAGCUAGAUAUCAGUUACAAAAUAAGAAUGUACCUUAGGUAGUAACCAUGCUCUGCUGCUAUCCCUAGAUUCUCACACGGAGCAAGCCACUCACCUAGAGAGACUUUUCCCCUGCCACUAACAAUAAAUGUAGUGUUAUUAGUGUCACCACAAAGCUCCCUCAGAACAUAGAUGACAUCACGACUUGGUUUUUUGAUGAGAGCAUGGUGGGGUACCACUGUUCCAUCAUAAUCCAAAAAUAUUGCCCUUCUAGAUGUCCUCUUAUAUGCAUCAACAAUUCGAUCAACAGAGAGCUUCCUAAAGUUUGGAGAAAGGGACAAUAUUCUGACACUCAAACCAAAGCCAAUGCCCCAACAACGUUUACUGUAGUGAUCUCUGCAUGCUCGCUCCAAAUCCUGCAUAAAACUAUGGGCCCAAUAAGCCACGUCAUGAGAGCAAAUAUAUCGAUAAUGUUUCUCAUGCCGCAGCUGCUUCUCUACAUCAGACAUGGUGAUAGCGUCAUGUAGUGCAUCAGCUACGGCAUCAAUGUCCCAGGGAUUGACCCUAAUUGCACCACUUAAGGAUGGUGAGCAACCAAUAAACUCGGAAAUGACAAGCAUACUAGUACGUGGACACACUGAUGCCAGUUCCAUAGCUUCAUCCAUUUUUGGAGUCCCUUGUCUACAGAUAGUGUAUUUGUAUGGCAUUAGGUUCAUCCCAUCUCGCACUGCAUUAACAAUACAACACUCUGCCAAAGCAUAGUAAGCAGUCUUCUCAUGAAGAGGUACAGGUCUGUCAAUCAGGAUUACAGGUUCAUAGCCCGGAACACCAUAUGUUUCAUUGAUCCUUUUAGUAAUCGUAUAUGUCUCCAAUUUUGCAUCCUGAACAUCUUUUCCUGUACUCCUUGCAGGAUUUACAAUUUGAACCAGCACCAGUUUGCCCUGCAACUCAGGAUGCACCUUCAAUAGCUGUUCCAUGGCCAGUAAUUUUAAACUGAUACCUUUAAAUAUGUCCAUAUCAUCAACACCAACAAUAACCUUUUUCCCCUUGAAUUGCUCUCUAAUUUCUUUAACCUUGAUAGAAGAGGAGGGAUGAUUCAGAGCAGAUUCAAGUCUACCCAUAUGAAUUCCCACAUGCAAGAUUUUAACAUAUAUUGUGCGACCAAAAUACUCAAGUCCAAUAUAACCGCGCUUGGAUUCAUAAUCCAGGCCCAGCAUCCUACUGCAACAAGACAGAAAGUGGCGAGCAUAAUCAAAUGUAUGAAAACCAAUUAAAUCUGCAUUUAGAAGUGCUUUCAGAAUUUCAUUUCUAACAGGUAGAGUACGGUAGAUUUCUGACGAAGGAAAUGGGCUAUGGAGGAAGAAUCCCAGCUUCACUCGAUGAAACCGCCUCCUCAAGAAUGUAGGGAGAACCAUAAGGUGGUAGUCAUGAAUCCAUACAUAAUCCUCUUCAGGAUUUAUGACCUCCAUAAUCUUAUCUGCAAAUACCUUAUUAGCAGAAACAUAUGCCCGCCACAGCAAUCUGUCAAAGCGAAAACCAUAGUCUGGGCAAAUAGGAAGCAUGUAAUGGAAAAGCGGCCACAGAUAUUGUUUACAGAAUCCGUGAUAGAACUUCUUCUGAAGGUCAGAAGAAAGAAAUGUAGGCACACAAUUAAAUUCAUCAAGUAGUUUCUGGGCAACUUCUUCUUGUUCACUUGUAUCUACAUCAACCUUCAGAGACCCAACAUAGAAAACAUCAGUAUCUGAUGAGAAACCAUCCUUCAUCUGAAGUAAAAGUGAAUCAUCAUCAAAACUAAAACACCAAUUUCCAGAUUCUAAAUUCUUCUGAGCAUGCAGGGGGAGAAAAUUUGCCACUAUAAUCUUCUUUUUGUGGUGUCUGUAGGAGGGAGAAUCUGAAUUUUCAUCAUUGCUUUCAUUGCCAUCCGCCUCAGGAAUAACUCCUUGGACAGUCAUUGCUCUCGGAAGUGCCCUAGGAGUUUGAGGGAAAUACAUCAUAUCAGCAGAUGCCAAGUCCACCAAGUUUAUGCAAGAUCUUGACAACAUGAUUGCCAGUGUUAUCCGUUCUUAUUUCAGAUUUAGAACAAAGUCAAGUAUGAGAAAUACUCGUUCCUGCCUAAAAGACCUUCCAGGAGCUAUCUGAGAACAAAUAACCGAGUUCCUGCAGCAGUAGACAAUGAUACUUGUGCAGGUUAAUGAUGAUUCUCAAAGCACAAGAAUUAGAUGACGAUACAAAAGCACACAUGUAUAGUUAAUCAUCAAGGACGAGAAUAACUUUCAGUUUUUGUGCAACAAUGAUCAAUUAUGUACUCAAAUUAAAAGGACGUAUUAAAAGCCAAUAAAAUUAUAAUACCAACAUUUAGACAAAUAAUAUAUUUAUUUUCCCUAAAUCCAUAAUUAUCUGGAGCUUUUUCCAUGAAGAUGCUCAACAAGCAACUCAUUAAAAGCAGACUAGCCUCAUUACUAAAGUACCUUAAUGUCAUGAAUGCAGGUCCCUCUUUGGCAGAGAAGCCUGCAAUCAAAUGCAUGUUCAGAAAUAGGUAAAGGAAAGAGCAAGGUUCAAAAACACUGUGGGAAGAACAUGAUAUGCCCAACUGCCAUUGAUAUUUAGUAAACCCCAGGUGAAACUAACUUAAAAAAGGACAAGCACUAACAAGUUUUAUAUAAUAAACUAAACUUACUUUAAAGGAUCGAAGUUCCAAAAGAUAAUCGGAAAAUAGACACCCAGGAACAUAUCAAUUGUAAAUUAAAUAACUAAUCGAACAAGCUAGAAAGAUUAGUUCAGCAUGAACAGCAGGCAGAUAAUCAAAAGAUACCUCAAAUUGAAGAGAUUAACCAGGAUAAACGUACUAUCCACAGCACCAAAAUGUCAUAAUAUAGAAGUUCUCUUAUUUUACUCUUGCCUCCUGUUUAGCGAAAGGGACCAGAAAGAGGGAACCACCCCAUCCCCAACCCCCGAGACAAAUAAUGAUCUAGCAUCUAUUUUCAACUCAAUACUAUGACAGGAAUUUAUAUGAGCAGUGUAAAAAUAGACAAUUGUUGAUAAUGCUGAUCUAUAAACAAAUGGGUUAGACAAAGUCACAAAAGAUGGAAUAUAAAUGAAUGAUAAAGAUAAAAGAAACAUAUGAAACAAGCAUGAAAGCAUGUACAUACACACCUAACACUGAUGCCUCAGAAGCAUGCCUUAGUUUCGGCUGUAUUGAAUUUUAACAUUCAUGGCCUUUUUAUACGCAAAACCCUCAAGAGACAGUCUAAUAAAACAAAUGUUCUUUUAAGGUAAUCAUUGUUAUAUUUAUCAAUACAACCUAUGCUUUCCCAUGCAUCCCAUUCAUAUCAUUCACUUCCAACGAAGUCAUUAAACCGCAUUAUCUGGCUUCUUAAUACAGACAGCAUGAAAUUAUUAUAUUAACAAAUUGAAUGUGAAAGAACACGUGUUUCACUCUUAUAACCGUUAACAAUUAAAAUUUUUAAAAUGAAAAUAUUUACAUACCAAAGCAAUUUUCUCUCUAAAUAUUUUUCAGCAAACUUCAUUGGCUUCAGCAAAAUCAGUUGCUUUAUUUUCAAGUCUACUAAUAUGUAAACUAAUAAUUAAAUUAACAACGAAGAACUUCUUUAAAGCAAAACUCAGGUCCACAUGGCUAUUUGUCGGUUGCAUUUUUACCUUGCACAAUAUGUGAAAUCCUAACUCAGCAUACCAAAUAAGCAAAUUCUAGCAGAGAACAUUAUAUCAUCAUCAUUAAUUCAUUCAUUUUACUUUAUUUUUCCAAAUUCGUCAAGAAAUAUUUGUUUGUAUCAGUCAGUGUGCCGAUAAAUUAUCAGGAACAAUAUAAUUAUGUCACAUAAUGUAUGUUUGUGUAACACAUUCUGUCCAUCCCAAGAAAUUUCUAUCAGAGAAUACAGAUUAAAAGAAGCCGUCUCGAAACAGUCACUCGAGGUCAAUAGGCUACAUACAGUCAUGAAUUAUGAUUUUAAUGACUCAUCAACUGCUUCAUCAGCUUAGAAGCACAAGAUGAGUUAAGGACUUGCAAUACAGUAUGAAUAAAAUGAACUUACAGAUAUUAUAUAUAACUUUAAAAAAAAAAAGUUUGAUGCUGUUUACAAAAACAUGAGCAUUAUUUAAAAAACAAAAUAAAAAAUGGGAGUCAACAGAGGCUGGUGCUUAUUAAACUUCUAUUCGUUACAAAGCUCAGCUUGAAAAGAUAAUGCCAAUUACCAAAUAUUCCAAAAAGAAAGAGAUGCCCAUAACUCUACAGAAAGGAAGCAACUUGAAUACGCAAAAGAGUUCAAGUACAUAUCAGGCCCCGGAUCUUGAGUUUCCAAUUUCCAGCAUAUAUACAUAUACACGCACAUUCAUAAAAUCAAUAAACAUGCAUAAUAGAAAUGAAAGGCAAAGAGAGAAAUAGAGAGUUAAAUAAUAAAAACAAAAGCGUUACCUGAAAGAAUUCUAACUGAUACCAAACCAAAAACGAAAAAUGAUCCAGCAACUGACCUUAAACCGAGCUAUUUGAUAAGUCUCAGAGGAUUUUUCUCUGCCAAAACAUCAAAAAUGUCAUAAAUAAUAUAGAACUGCGUCUGGCUGCUGAGAAAACUCAAAUUUUCAGAAACUGAAAAUGCCCAUUAGGCCACCACUCAUUUCCCACACUUUCCCACCAACCAAAUGUACUCGUAGAAACAAUAACCAAGAAGAAGAAAAAAGAAAAUGAAAGAAAGAAACCCAUGGGAAAAGACUUACAGGAUAAACAUGAAGCAAAAGAAUUUGCACAUGUACAGUAAGUAAGUUAGGUUCAAAACUGGUGAGAUUAUUGUGGAGUUUAAUGGGGUUCUGAAACCGACUAAACCAACAACAAAAAGUGAAAAAGAAAGAAAUCAAUUUUUUUUUCUUUUUUUUAAGGUUCCGUUUGGUUUGGUGUUUGGUGCUGGGUGCUGGGUGCUGGGUGCUGGAUGCUGGGUGCUUUGCUCAUUCAACAAAAGAAGCUGUAAGAAGAUUAAACGUAGAAUAUAAAAAGUCAAUAAAGAAAGAAGAAAGAGAACGAACGAACACACAACACAGUCUCUGUUUUGUACAGUUAGAUUUGCAAAGUCUCGUUGGUCUUACGUUAUAAUCUUACGGACUUCUGAAUUUCCCUAAACACCCCUCCUUUGUUAACUUAUACUUUAACCAACCCCCCCUUUGAUUUCUCUACAAAACCGUAAUUUUAACCUUAAUUAUUAUCCCACUUAAAUUCGAUUCCUUUCCAAAAUGGUCAAUUUUUGAAAAUGGUUACGUAGAUCGCAAUCUUGCUAUUUGUAUCAAGCCAAGCCAAGCCAAGAUUCGAUAAGGGUGUGUAAGGGGCCUAAUUGUUUAGGUAGCAAAAAGAAGUCUUCCGUUUUCUUAAUAAUUAAUAUUAUCCAUCAAUACCCCCAAAUUAUAUUGUUACGUAUUAUUAUUUUUGGUAAUAAAAUAAAGUUGACCUCUCUAUUUAAAAAAUAAGUAAUGAAAAGAAAAAUCCACUCCAUGCGGAUAAACAUAGACUUGGCCUACUUUGGUAAUCAUAAUAAUAAUCGUUGUGCAUGGGAAAAAAAUUAUAUAUUUUAUUAAUAUAAACAUAACAAUCAAUGAGUUUGCCACUCGUGAUUUUUCCAAAUCGUUGUACCCAUUAAAGAUUUCAUGAUAUCAUUAUUAUAUUAACAGACCACGAUAUUAUCUAUAAUUUAAACAAAGGUGGGCAAUAUUUAAGAAACCAAAGAAAAAAAUUCAAAAUACCCAUUUGGGUCUAUCAUAAAAUGAAUAAGCCGAUGCACUUGAAAUUAACAAAAAUAAGGUUGUACGUAUCAAUUCUUUUGCUGUACAAACAACAACAUUAUUGAUAAAGAUAAUUUUUUUUUUCUAAAGUCAUCAAUGUAAAUAAAAUAUGAGACAAAUGUAAUAACACUUUCGCCUUAUCCUCUAUUGGAACUUGCAUAUUUGAUAUUUUCUUUUAAAAUGAUGGGGGGGUAGCAUGAGCUGUAAAUCAACUCGUAACAGCUGGGGGAGCGGCGAAAUGCAACAGAGAGGUACUUACUUCAACGCCCGAGGCCAAGGGAAAGAGAGCAAAAGGGAGGGGCAGUUGAGUGGAAAGUAAUGCCGUGUAUUAAACUGAGAUUCGAAUAAUAAUAAUAAAUAAUAAUAAAUGGGGGGGUAGUAACUGUAAAAAAAAAAAAAGAGGAGCCGACAGUGCAUGCGGCUGCUCGACCACGCUAAUUGAUCUGGCACCCAUCAACCAUCAUUUUUGGAUAAGACGACCAUUUAUUUCCUUUUCCCAUUCCCCCAUGUUUCCAGGCCGUUAUUUACGAGACUACCCCAUUUCCUCAAGUUUGCGCCGUGUUAAAAAAAAAUGAAGGGAUAAAGUUCAAAAAAGGAAAGAAAAGCAAUGAAAAGCCAAUUCCUGUGUUUGGUCUAUACUUGGCGUCAUGUCAAAUUUCAAGGCACUGGCUUGCAUCACCAUCAUGCGUCAUCUUCAACUCAAUGCUUAUCCCCAGCGAUAUUUUAAUUUAGAUUUGUAAAAAGAAUUAAAAAUUCAAAGAAACCGGUUACCUUCUAAAUGCAAUAUAAAAUUUACUUUUUAUUCAACAAAUGAUUAAUGAUAUUUUAUAACUAUUUAGAUAAAAAAAAUUACACACUUUAUUGAUUUAUUUUACAAGAGAUAAUAGAUAAAGUGAAAUUAUCAAAUGAUUUUGUAUCAUCUAUUUAAUAAUAUUAUCAAUUCAAUACUUAAUGAAGCUCAAGCCAAACCCAAGACUUGAGCUUUGAAAAUAUUGUUUUUUUAUUAUUAGAGUUAGACUUUAAUUUUACAUUGGUCUCUUCACUUAAAUACACAAAUUCUCAAUCUUUAAUCACAUUGAAUCUAAUGAUAAAAAAGGUGAAUAAAUUAAUGAUAUUAAAUGUUACAUUUUUUACUUUAUUUGUUGGAUGAGAUUUUAGUCCUAAUUUUAAUAUUAAAAUUUUUUUAUUUAAAAUCCCUCAUCUACUUUUCUUAAUUAAAAUGUACCUCUUAAUAUGUAUAUUUAUUUUUCUUCUGUAAUCAACUUUUUUUUUUAAUUUAAGUAGCAUAUGACAGAUUCUAAAAUCCGACAACUUUUAAUCAUGAUAUUAAAUCAAAAUAUACUUUCAUUGAAAUGAUUUUACUAAAUUUUAAUUACUCUAGACAUCAUAUGUUUUGAAAUAAUGACUAAUUAAUGUAAACAUCAUAUUUUUAAAUUAAUGAAUACAGAAAUUUUAAUAAUUAAUCAACGCAUUUUUCUACGAACUACCAAAGGAGAAUAUAAUCCAAAGAUGAAGAGGAUUAGAAACAUGGAUUGACAAAACCAACCGAGCCCGGGCAUGAAGAAUGGAUGGCAGAGAUGUAAAUAUAAAUACAAUAGAAGGUUGAUUAAGUGGGUCGGAAUACGAUGCGGAUAAAAUCUAGUACUCAGACAGGGAUCUUGAAAUAAAUGCCCACCCAACUCCUUCCAUCCUCAAGAAAAAUAAAAAUAAAAGAUCUUUUUUUUUUCUUUUUCUUAAAGGGAAAAAGGAAAAAUCCUUAUCCAGAGCGUCCCCACCACCAGCCACAAUCUCGUACGAACUUUUCACACGGAAGAGGAACAAUGAUAAUCUAAGACCGACGCUUGUCUUAAUUUGCUUGGCCACACAGCCGAGGGGGGGGACCAAUGUAUAUAAAUUGGUUUAUUUCGAACCAAAAUAUCUCGACCAACAUAUUGUGGAUUCGAGUAAAUCUGUAAUGUAAUGUUUUAACAGUAGUACCGGUAAAUAUUAGGAGCUGGCUGCGCUGUGAUGGUUAAAAUUCAAAUUAGUACCGUAUCCGCUUUUGUUGUUCAUAUCAUAACAAAUGUCAAAUUUCAUUGAGCACUUAUACUCUCCUCGUUCAUAAAUUAUUAACAAGUAUUACGAUAGUUUCUAUUUAGAUAGAUGGUUAAAAUUCAAAUUAGCAAUUUUCACUCUUUAUUUAUUUAUUUAUAAUUCUUUUAUGAGUACUAAAGCAUGUUUUCUUUAAAUUCAUUAAAUAUUAAUACGUAUGAGGAAAUACCCUUUUGUACUCUUAUUUUAUCCUGUUAUUUAAUUCAACACCCUUAUAAGUAUCUCAUGUGGUUGCUAUUAAUUUAAUGUUCCGCAUAAAUAAUAAUAUUUGUUUUAAUGUUAUUUAUACUAUAUGUUUAAUUAUUAUUUUUUAAUUUAUUUUAAUAUACUAAGCUUCAAGAAAUAGUAAAGAAAUAUAUAGAAAUUGAAGAUUACAUCUUCCGAGUAAGCAAUGUAAAAUUAUAAAUCUAUCCAUAAUGUAAUCUAAUUGACUAAACUAUCUGGGUUGUGGCAAUUUUUUAUUUUCGAUUUGGAUUUAUUCUUCUAUAUUUGUAUUUAAAAUUUUACUCCAACACCAACACUACUACAUAAGUAAUUUAUCGUUUUUCUUUAUAAAUAAAGUAUUAGAAUUCUAAAAAUAAACAACGACAACUGAAUUCAUAAAAUGCAUUAAUACUAGCCAAAGAUUUAGAUAUAAAAAUAUUUAAUAUGUAUAAAAUAAUUGUAAAUAAAAAUGAGUGUAAAGUGUUCUAUGAAAUUUGAUAUUUUUUAAGACAUAAAUAUAAAAGUAGAGGUACGGUACAACAGUUGCUCCACAACUGCAAUCAAUAAUAUAAUACAUAUUUAUCAUAAGAGGUUAGAUGCAUAAUGACAUUUUUUAAAAAUAUAAACUUUAUUUUAUGUGAUAGGAAUAAAUAUACUUUUAAGAACAAAUAAUAUGUGAUAAAUUCAAAAUUAAAUUUUGAUAAAACAUAUCAACAUUUUUACUCAAUUUUGUGUAUGAUUUUAUCUUAAGACAAGGGUUUCUCAUAUUAAUACCGCUAAUUUGAUGACUAUGAUCAAUAGUAACAUGAUAAAUAACCUUUUAUUUUUUAAGGAUUUGAGUUUUUUUUUCGCAUAUAAGGAGAGUUAUAUAUUUAAUUUUGUUUUGAAAUAUUGGAAUAAGAUAUUCCAAUUGUGCUGUCAUAAAGUAAAAAAAUAAUUGAUGUAAUAUUAAAAUAAAAUAAUUAUGAGUCCCAGCUCCCACGUUAUUCAUAUUUAGUUAUUCAUGCGAAGCUCGUUGCAAAUUAAUACUAGCCAUGUCAAAAUAUAUAUAUAUAUAUAUAUAUAUAUAUAUCUUUNNNNNNNNNNNNNNNNNNNNNNNNNNNNNNNNNNNNNNNNNNNNNNNNNNNNNNNNNNNNNNNNNNNNNNNNNNNNNNNNNNNNNNNNNNNNNNNNNNNNNNNNNNNNNNNNNNNNNNNNNNNNNNNNNNNNNNNNNNNNNNNNNNNNNNNNNNNNNNNNNNNNNNNNNNNNNNNNNNNNNNNNNNNNNNNNNNNNNNNNNNNNNNNNNNNNNNNNNNNNNNNNNNNNNNNNNNNNNNNNNNNNNNNNNNNNNNNNNNNNNNNNNNNNNNNNNNNNNNNNNNNNNNNNNNNNNNNNNNNNNNNNNNNNNNNNNNNNNNNNNNNNNNNNNNNNNNNNNNNNNNNNNNNNNNNNNNNNNNNNNNNNNNNNNNNNNNNNNNNNNNNNNNNNNNNNNNNNNNNNNNNNNNNNNNNNNNNNNNNNNNNNNNNNNNNNNNCAAGCGACCCUCACAGUGAACCCAAAUGAAAAAGAAAGUGCUUUAUUUAAUUUCAUUUGGAACCAAACCUAGCUAAAUGGAUUAGAGGUUAAUAACAAUGAAAGAAUAUAGAAAAAAAUAUAUAUUAAAAAAAUAGAAUAAUUUAUUAUUUGCUCGAAGAGGGUGCGGGACCCGCGUUAUCCGGUAGCCGUGUUCCACGGAGGGGUGUCGUAAACAGGGUGUGAUCUUCAUGUUCUUAACAUCAAUCAAAGGCGUGUGGAGGGGAGGUGUCAAAUGGGGCCCAGGGCCUCGAGUCCUUAUCCGUUAAAAGACCAAUAAUAAUCAUGUGUUGAAACCCGUUGGGUCCCGCUUCCAGACAAAUAAGAAUGUUCCAGUCUCUUAUCCUAAUAUUCAUUCCCUCUUCUUAUUUCACUUCGGGAAAAACGGAUACGGCGCGCGCGCGCGCGCGCGUACGCGCCUUGAGUCUUUAACCUUUAGGCUACGAUUUGGCAUGCAGAUUAAAUUAGAUUAACUAUAAGAAUUGGAUUGGAUUAAGUUAGAUUAGAUUAGUCUUAAUUAUUUAUAAUACUGUCCUAUGUUUGGUAUGAUAUAAGAUUAAUAUUGGAUUAGACUAUGUCAAAUAAAAUACAAGUGAAGUUAAAUAGUAUUUAAUUAGAAUAAUUAAAUUUAUUUAAAUUAUAUGUUUUCAUAUAUGAUAUAUUUUUCCUAUUAAAUAAAAUAUUAUUAAAAUAAUUAAAUAUAAAAUAAAUUAUUUAUCAAAAUUACAUAAUAUUGAAAUGAUAAAUGGGAUGUUUCUUAAUAAUAAUUUUGUUAAUACAUAUAAUAAACUAUUAAUUAAUUAUUUAACAUUAAAUAUUAAUACAAAUAAAUAAAUGAAAGAAGAUGUCAUAGGUAUAAUAAAAAAAUAAAUUACUUAAUUUUUAUGGAACCAUGAAUAAAAAUAAAUAGAUAAAUAAUAACAAUACAUAAAUAAAUAAAUAAAAAUCAUAAGAAGACAAACAUUGUUUAGUCCAAUCCUCCUUAAACCCAUGAAAAAAUGAGGAUAACUAAUCCUAUAAUUGUAGGACUAAAUUUGAAUUUAGUCCACUUAAUCUAAUCCAAGUGUGUUUGCCAAACAUGGGAUUAGAUAUAUUAUCCAAACAAUUAGUCUAAUCCCCCACUUUGUCCUACUCCCAAACAUGACCUUAGGUUCCAAAAUUACAAUUUCAAAUGGCCCAGGUGGCGCUGCGGCAGUAAGUGUGUGUGAUUUUUUUCUUUUUUCUUAUUUUCUUUUUUAUAUAAUGGUAAAAGUAACUUUCAAAAGUAGUUGAGGUGCUAUAAAAAAAAAAAAAAAAAGAUUUUGGUUUAUCAUCGGACUGUGAUUGGACUGUCAUAUUUUAAAAGUUAUCGCUUUAAAGAACUUCAUAAACAACUUUAAUUAGAAGCUAAGUUAGUAUUAUCUAGGUGUGAGCAAAAUGGAACCAGUUCUUUAAGAAAUCGCUUCGAUUCGGUAUUUUUGCAGUAAAAAAGUGAAAAAAAAAAAAUACUGAAACCGAACCAAAAAUUUCAGUUAAAAUUAUCAAAACUGGAAUUGGACCACAAAAAAUCAUUUAUAUUUUAUAUAUUAAAAUAAUGCCACGUGGCGUGAUUCAAGAAGACAUAAGAAAAAAAAUAAAAAAAUAUUAAAUUUUAUAAGAAAAUAAAAAAUUUAUAUAUAUAUGUGAAUAUCCAAAUCGAAAAUUUGCAUUUUGAAUUGGAUCAUUUUGUUUUUAUUUCAAUUCUUAAAAAUUCAAUACUGAACGAAACUGUAAUUUUUAGUUCGGCCGAUAUUAAAUUGAACCAAUCCGUUGCCUAUCUUUAGUUUUAUCCAAUUGGUUGUAUGAUAAAAAUUAUAACAUUUAAAAAAAAAAUCAUAUUUACCACACUUUAUCAACUAUAGCUUAAAAAAAUUACAACACUUCAAUACUAAACAAAGUCUUAAUAUUAUUGUAUCUAGUUAGUAUACUAACUAGUAUGUAAUUUUUUUUUUUAACAAAAUUUAUUCGUAACGUUAAUCUUGAUAUUAACAAGAUUGUAUGGAAUUUUUUUGAGAAUUCUCAUCAUUAUUUUCUGAAGAGGAUUCAUCAUGAUGUAAUUUAUGUAUACAGAAUGCAUAUAACUCUUGAAUAAUCAGAGCUUUGCAGAGCCAAUUAACCAUUUGCAAUUUCUCUCGGUGCCUUCGGCGCAAACUUCAUCUGCAACAGCAAAAGAUGGAAAAUAACGCAGCAACCAAACGGAUUGUUUUUGUUGGAUCGAUUUUGGGAUGAAUUGCUCAGGGCCCAGUACCCAUGUUGUUUUUUGGUUUGAAUGAGGCCCAAAUUACACUAAGAGCGAUCUUUUAACGCGCCUUCUGAAUCCUUAAUAUUCCUUGUAACACUCCUUUUGAAUUCUAUUAAGUAAAAUUAAAAUGGGUGGGGCUAUUUAAACCCAUAAAAGCACUCUCUGCAUCCAUUUAUUUAUAAUAAUUUUUAUUACUAAAAUAACCUAUAACAAAUUAUCUUUAAGGACUUUUUUCUUUUCUUUCCUUUUCUUUUUUGAAAUUGAACAAAAAUUCUGCAUAAGUAUAGCUUUCUAAACCUUCCUGAAAAUGGGUAAAACAAUUAAAGAUUAAAUCAAUUCAGAAUAAAGAACUUCAUUCUAUCAUUUAGAACUUUUAGUGAAAAUAUUAUGCAAAUUCUUUUACUAGUUGUGGUAUGUAAUUUUUUUUUGGGAAAAUAUUCACCGUCCACCCAUUUUUUUCAACUUUUUCAAAAAUACACAAUUCUUUCUUUUUUUUUUGCUGGAAUCCACCUAAAGUUACAUUUUGUUUCACUUUUCCACUUCUGUUUGGAAUCCGUUAAGAAAACUUACGGAAACUUAAAAAAAUUGACCAUUUUACCCCCAAAACGAAAAUUACAAUUUCACCCUAAAAGUGUAAAAAAAAAAAUCAGAUUUAAUGAUGAAUAUCAUUAUUUGUAUGUUAAUGAAGUACAAAAAAAUCUUAACUACUAGAGAUUAUAACUCAAUGAAUAAUAAAACUCUACUUAUCUUAAAUUCAAUUGAUGGUUUGUGAGAUUGAGUUAUUUUUAAUACUACUGUUAUAAUUUAGUCUUCUAAUUAUAGACAUAUUAAAAAAAAAUUCUGCAUUUGAUGGUUGUGGAAUUAAUUUCUUUAUUGACCGAUGGAGAAAAUAAUUAGAUUUAAUCUGAUUAUUUUUUAUAAUUUUUAAGGUGAAAUUGUAAUUUUCAUUUUGGGGGGUAAAAUUGUCAUUUUUUAAAGUUUCCGUUAGUUUUCUUAACGGAUUCCAAACGGAAAUGGAAAAGUGAAACAAAAUGUAACUUUAGGUGGAUUCCAGCCAAAAAAAGAAGGAAUUGUGUAUUUUUGAAAAAGUUGGAAAAAACGGGUGGACGAUGGAUAUUUUCUUUUUUUUUUGUUAAUUUUUUCCCAAAUUGAUUUUACUUGAAUCACAUUUUCCAAGAAAUUAAUCUCCAAAUACUUGCUCUAAUUGCUCAAACCCCAUUUCAAAAUCUCUAAUCUAAAUUGUUCAGGAGAAAGGAAAAAGUAGAGAAAUCGAAAGGAAGAAGAAGAGUAGUUGCCGACUUGCUGGUAGUUGUAAAUAAUGUAGGGUUAAUUUUGGAUUUUAAGAUGGUUUAUAGAGCAAAACAUUAUUUUUUUAAAAUUUAUGUUAUGGGUUUAUUGAGAAAUGGGUGUGGAGAGAAAAAUUGUAGGUUUAAAUAGCCUCACCUAAUAAAAAUUGCUUAGUGAAUAAAUUACUUAGUAAAAUUGUCUAAUUUUACAUUAGUUAUUUAGGUAAUUUCAAUUAGGCAAAUUAUCAUUUUUAUACCCUAAAUUUGCGCUUUUAUCAAAAAUACUACCACACUUUAAGAGUGUAUCAAUCGUCCACCUUAAAUUGACAAAAGUUAUUUGCCGACCACUAAACUAUUAGUUGUCGUUUAAAAGUUAACAGAACUGUAGCAAAUUGACGAUUUUACCCUUGAAAAUUAUCACUUGUAUAUCCUUAAAAUCUCUUAUUAUCACUUAUAUAUCCUAAAAUUUCACUUGUAUCAUAUGAAAAUACCAAAUUACUCCUCUGACGUUAUCAUAUUUAAAUGACAACUAAUAGUUUGGUGGACGGUAGAUACAUUUUGUCAACUUAAAGUGAACGAUUGAUAUACCCUGAAAGUGUUGUAAUAAAUUUGAUGAUGGAGUAAAAUAAGGGAAUACGAUUGACAAUUUCCCUUUUAAUGAAAAAGAGAUUUUAUGAGGAAUUUUGAGGGCUGUCAAAAGGUUUACUCUUAAUACCAAUGCACGAAAAAGAUUACUAAUUGGGCUAAAAAGAUUGUUCUUUUUUUUUUUAGAAUUAUAUGAGACUAUUACUCAGAUUAUAACUUAUAUUACAUUAUAUUACUACUGAUAUUAUAUUAUAGUAUUGCUUAUAUUUUACUCUUUCUAAUAUUCGAAGGACAUCUAUACCACUCAUAUUUCAAAAGGAAAAAAAAAAACUAUUUUCACUUAAUUAUCUCCAUAAUUGAGGAAAGAAUUAAGCCACCACAAUAUUUUGUGGAGCUCUAGGAAGUGAGAGCACGACAUUGCCCACUCGGCCCGUCAAAAGAGAUUGUUCUUACUUCUUAGUAAAAUUACUUAAUAUUUUUUUUUUAAGAGUAAUUUUAAUAAGUAGUUUUACACUCCAUUUUUUAAGCAAAUUCCUCAUAAUGCAAAUUUACAUUGCGAGUAAAGCUUUGAACACCUCUUUAAAAUCCAUAUAACACCCCUUUUGAAUUUUAUAAAGUAAAAUUGAAAUUACUUAGUAAAAUUACCUAAUAAAUUAGUAAAUAAUUUGUAUUUGGUUAUUUAUUAAAAAAUUACUUAAUAAAGUUUUUUGAAGAGUAAAUAAUUCCUUAGUAAAACUGCUUAAUUUGUCUUUUGUUAUUUAAGAAAUUUUAAUUGAAAGAGAUUUUAUGAGAAAUUUUGAGGGGUGUGAAAUGGCUUACUCUUAACAACAAUGCACGUAAAGGAUUACUAAAGAGGUUGGUUCUUACUUCUUUGUAAAAUCACUUAAUAAUUUUUUUUUUGAAAAGUAAUUUUAAUAUGUAAUUGUACAUCCAUUUAAAAUCUUAGUAAGUCUUUUGAAAUUCCUCAAAAUUCCUCAUAAACCUUCUUUUUAAUUGAAAUUACCUAAAUAAUUACAAAAUUAAUUAUUUUUUUAUUUUGAACGGGAAUUGAAUUAAAUACUUAAAUAAACUGUUCUUUUAACAAACUUUUUACAAUCCCAUUUCAUAAUAUACUUAUAUUUUUAAUUUUAAUUAACCGAACAGAGAGUUCAAUUAAUAUAGUUCAAUAAUUACGAUUUGCAGAAAAGUAAUAUAGUAAAUUUGAUCCGUGUUAAAAGCCUCCAAUAAUUAAAUAACAGGUGCUUGAAAAUUUUUACAGUCAGCUGCUGGUAUGCCGAUGAACGCCAGCUAGAAUAGCUAUUAGCUAAAAACGGAGUCAAAGCCCGCACCCAACAAACACUCGGCGAUCCCCCCUGUGCUGAAGCUUAACGAACGCCGUCUGCGCACCCAGAUUCUUCUCUUUCUCUUCUAACACGCACAUAACACCACCAUAUAUCCAAUUAUUUGAUCAACAUCCAAGCUUUCAUACAUUUAUUUAUUUAAUUCUUUCAAUAAAACCCCCAAAAAAAAAAAAUGAAUCAGUAAUAAAGGCAGGCAGGCUGGCAGGCAGGGGAGCGAGCAGCAACAGCUUAAUAAAAUAAUAGCGGUAAAUUAGUGGAGGUUGCUGCAGGCAAGGCAAGGGAAGGGAUGCCAGGGCCGGGGCCGCACAUGAUGUACGCGAUGGGUACGGGGCUGGCCAUGACGAAGCUAUCAAAUGGCAGAUUUAGCCCCCACCACACGUUGACUUAUACAAUCAACGCCUUCUUUGGCCCCGAUAUAGGCUCCUUCUCCGAAUGGCUUGGCUCCUUCUUCGGUUCCUCAUUCGGCUCCUCUUUAGCCGAUGCCAUUCACCACCCCUUUUAUUAUGUUAUUAUUCUUGGCUUCCCGUUGUGUGUUCUUUAUUCUUUGCUUUCCAGGAUUUUACUCCUUAAAGGCCUUCUUGAUUCUGUUUCUGGGGUGAGUUUCGAUCAUCUGGGUUGUUUCUUUUGGAGCUUUAUUUGCAAAAUUUUUAAUUAGAGAUAUAUAUUGGUUGGUGGGCUUUUAAAAGUUCAUGAGAUUUGGUUCUGUUUUUGGCAACAAUGAAGUUUCAUUUUGGCAGUAUUUGUUAAUAUUUAAUGAGAUCUUAUUAUUCAAUGAAAUAUAUUUUGUUGUACUCAAUCAAGAGAUUCUCAUCCCGUUGGUUUGUAUCAUGCAGGUACCCCUUACAAAGCGGCAAUGCUUCUUGUUGAUCUGCGCCGGCUCUUUUUCUCACUUUUUCCUUGACCAUUUGUUUGAGGUAAUUUUUUUUUUUUUAAAUUUUUGUCCCCUUUCUAUUGAUAUGGUAUGUCCCUGAGCGUGACCACAAUCAUUUUGUUUAUUGCUUGAAAAUGUUGGUUUGGAAAUCGUUUUGCGAGAUAUGUAUUUUGAAUCGUGUGAAUAGCAGAAUUGAAACUGAUCGAAGCCUAUAUAUAUGUUGAGUGAUCAAUGUAGAUGUUUGGAGAGCUAGAGAGAGACUUCUACUUCUGCUAUUUAUCUAGGCUUUGAAAAUGAUAUGGUGAACUUCAGAGUACAAAUCAUGUGCAAGAUAAACUUUAAGCUGUGUGCCAGUCAUUGGUUUAGGAGGAUGGCACGUGCCCUUUCUGUAAGAUUCUGGAUGAACUAGUUACGCUUACGCCAAAAGAAUUGCCUUAGUAGAUGCACUGCUUACAAGUGACAGUGCUAUUGUCAAUUUAGUACAUUUUCAGAAUAAUUAAAAUCAGGGCAUGGUAUGAAUCUGUUUUUUUGGUUUCCACAAAAAAACAGUUAAGACAAAGUUUUAUACCAGCAGCAAUGCUUCUCAAUUUUGGUAAAAAUUUCAGACAAGUCGCAUCUCUUAAUUUGGAACUUACUGGAGAUGGCUGAAAUUUUCUUUAAUUCUUCAUUCUUCACGAUUCAUCUUGUUAAAGGAUUUAUUUUAUUCUUUGACUAAAUUGGGCUUUUAAGACCUGAUAGGUGUGAGGAUUCCUCAAUUUUAAGACUCUGUUCAGAGAAGAGAAACAGCUCAAAUUGCCUUUAUGAUUUUCUGGUUUGUGUGAUUGCCUCACUCCCAAAUACUGCAAAUUCAAAAGUAACCGCUGCAUUCAUGGAAGGCCAAAUGGCAAACACCCCCGCAACUCCCUUCCUCCUUUUGGUGCCUCUGGGUGCCACAUCUUAUUGUUUGUUAUGUUGAUGGAUCAAACAUUGUAUCACAGGAAAAUGGACAAUCGUCAAUGUAUGUUUGGAUAUUGAGCACUGGUUGGUGGAAGGGUCGAGCACCUAUCAACCCAGAUGCUGUCGUAGUAAUCGCUGUCUUGUGCACUUGCUUGAUUGGUGGCUUCAUUUAUAUCAACAGGUGUUUGUCUUUGGGAUGAUUGCCAUCAUUUGGUUGUAUUCAGAUUAUAGUGAGCUUAUUAGCAUAUUUAAAAGUUUUGAACUCUUGGUAUAUGCGCAGAGUAAAGCCUGCGAAGUCGGCUAGGAAUCAAUCAUAUCACUCUGCGAGUCUUAUUUUGAUUAUAGCAAGCCUCUAUUGCUUAUGGUGUUUUAGCCAGAUAUUCUGGGUGAAUCCUCGUCGGGCAGCAGUUGGAGAAGAGGCUGAUCUUGGAGUUCUUGUGUUUCUGGCAAUCUAUUUCUUUCUCCCGCACCUUUUUUGUAUUAUGUCCAUGAACCCUAAAGAUCACCACAUGGAGGCACUUCCACUUAUGACAGUAUAAGCAUUAUUUCGUUAAGAUAGGAGAUUUAUAGGUUAUGCCACGAAGCAUGUUGUCUGUUGUAAUUGUCCUCUUUAGCUGUUAGUGUUAGCUAUUUUCACGAAAAGCCUACUUUUUUUUUUAUUUCAAAAUAAAAAUCUGUAAAUUGAAAAGAAUUUGAGCUAGAUUUUUCCCCCUCGUUUGGUAGGGCCGUCUGUGCUCACAAUUGUAGUUGAGAAUUAAAAAUACAUGCGUUGGAGAAAUAAAGGUUCCAUAUUUAUGUGUUUUCUUUCUGGAUUGAGCAGAUUUCUCAUCGCAAUUGUUCUGGUUGAUAGUUGCCCCAAGUCUAUCAUCUAUGCAAAUGCAAUCGAGGCAUUUGCGAUUGGAGAGAUAUGUAGCAUUCCCGAAGUCUUGUCAUCAACAUUGGCAUAUGUUAGCCUCUGGCCAUCUGUAGCUAAAAUGCUUGCUGCAAAUGCUCAAGGAUUUUGGUCUUGGUUCGCAAAUACUUGAAAAUGUUGAUAAUCGAAUUAGACUGGGAUUCAAACUUGAUUGCGAUUUCUUCCCCAUUUAAAAACCAAAGUGGCAUAACAAAUUUAAAACGGCAAAGUCAAAUUAUGAACUGGCAAUAAGGACAAUUUGUACGAAAUUGAAAGACAAAUCGAUACAAAACAAAAGGGGGGGCGGGGGGACAACAAAUGUGACUUUUUCUUUAAGCAUAAUGCAGCAGUAUGGAUCCAAAUUUUUCUUUAAGCAUAAUGACCAAACCUAGAAGUAUUGUGCAACAAUAUCACAUACUGGAAUCCAAAUUUUGGGAACCAAUCACAUCCACGACGCAAGAUGGCAUGGCAGACGGAGAUAAUGCAGCAGUAUGGAUCUGCAUGCAAAAUCCAAAGCGACGCAAAACCAAAACUACCUCCAUGUUAUAUGCCUGCCUGCAUCUAAUCAUCACAUCAUCUCUAUUCAAUUCCUAUGCAAUUUUGAAUGCAUGUAAUCCAUCUAUAUCCUGUGUGUGUGUGUAUCUGAUUUGUAAUUAUAUAUGACAACCCUCAUUGUCUGUGUUAUCAUCAACCUGCGACCUUGUACUUGGAAUGUGGGAGUGAGCUGGCUUCUUUGCAAAAGUUGGCAAACAAAAUGCUGCAGCAUGUACCUGAAUUGAAACAAUUAAUAGCAUUAAAUUAAUUUAUUAUGAGCAUUCUCCAUAAUACAUAUAUAAAAUAUAUAAUUUGACCACCUACAGAUUGAUUACGUACCUCUGCUGAGUUAUAGAAUUUCAAGGGCCCUUUUGCAACACCAAAAAUUUGGUCAGGGUCAAUUGGGUUAAUAGGAUGUAUGAAGUCCACGGAUGGCCCCUCAGACUCAGUAGAGCAAAGCAUGAAACCAAUAACUCCACUGCAGUAUUUUAUUUAAUAUGAAUAAUAAAGAAAAUAAAAUCGCACGUAUUGAUAAAAAGGGAAGAAGAUAUUAGCAAGUGAACGAGGCGCGCCUUGGAUAUGUGGGAACAGUUGUCCAAGCAUAGCUUGCGGAGCCUUUGAAUAUUCGAUGACAGUCAUCAACAAGAUGCUGGACACUGAAUUGCUGAAACCACAGGCUCUCCGCUUGGAUACACAUUGCUCCUCCGGGGCGGAGAGCUUUUGCUACCAACUCAAAGAAUGGACCUUCAAACAGAUCGUGUCCAGGCCCUGCAUGCAUGCAUCAAAUUCCAUAUACGUUUUAUAAUCUUUUACGAUUAUUUUGCAACAAAUUAAUUAAGCAGAUUCUUACUUAUGGGGUCGAAUGCGUCGAUUAUUAUCGCAUCAAAGGUUCCACUUUGAACGGUCUUCAAAUACUCACUUCCUGACAAUUUUCCAACGUAUAAGGUUUAUUCCCAUGUUGUAGUAGAGCGUAUAUAUGCAUGGCAGUAUCAUAAGAGGAAGGAAAUUAAUUUUACGUACCAUCGCAGACAUGAAGUAUUACACGAGAGUCCUCGUAUCCAAUAGCAAUUUCAGGAAAAUAUUCCUUAUACACCUGGAAUAUUUACAUUUUUUAUUAUUAUUAUAGAUAGGAAAUUUAUUAUCCUUCAAAAUUUUCUCACUUUUAUAAAUUAUUUGCUUCGUUUGUGCAUAUGAGAUCAUAAAAGUGUUUUUAUUUACUAAUUGCAAACAGUCGCACAUACAACUCAUUGCAGCUUUCGAUUGAGAUGUGUCACACUGUUUUUCUUUUCCUGACCCAACUAUACGCAUGAUAUAUAGCAAUAAUUUAAUUGAACAGUUUUAAACAGCAGCCGAUAUCUAGUUGAUAUGGUAAAUUUUUUUAUUUUAAAAAUAAAGAGGUUUGGAAUACGAAUCCGCUCACAUGAAUGGAGAGAGAAUAGUUGUUUAUAUCAACAUUUUAUCAUAUUUUUAUGUUUAAAUAUCAUUGCAUCAAUUUUAUUAAUUUUCAGUAAGACUUGAAAGUCAUAUUCAUAUAUAUACAUAUGCCGCUUACCACUUCUUAAUUAGAAAGUAAUUUCUUAAAUGUUGCUGUUGACUUUUCUCUAGUGCAUGCAUGGUGCCGAAAGGAAAUAAGUUACAUUCCAUGAUAGAAUAAAUAAGACUCACAUUGAUCAGCAUGGUGUCAAUCUCGCAUAUAUGAAUGUGCUCUACAGAAGCAUGACGAGAGAUUUCACGUAGGAUGCCACCGUCACCUCCCCCAAUAAGCAACACCUACAGAAAGAAAAAAAGUAAAAAGCUGAUCGAUGAAACAUGUAAUUGUAAUGGUCUGCUAUGAUUAAGAAAAAAGAAACCUUUUUGGGAUUCGGAAUUGAGCAAAGGGGAAGGUGAGUAAUCAUUUCUUGAUACGCGCACUCAUCCUUCUCUGUGAGUUGGAGAGCUCCAUCAAGAACAAAAACCUUACCAUAUGAUGAUGACUGUAACAACAAAACAAUAAAUUAUAUAGAAGAAGCAAUGAAUAAUAUUCUGUAUACUAUUGUAUUCCUGUAAAUUGAUGUCGUUUACCUGAAACACCAUCAUAUUUUGGUAUUCCGACUUUCCUUGGAAUAUAAUUUUUUCUACCUCUAAGAAGUGUGCUUGGCCUGCAAGAUACAUUAUAUAUAUAUAUAAAUAUAUAGAUUAGUUGGUUAGUAUGAUGUCCAACAAGUACAAAUAUACUGGCUAGCAGCCAACAAAUACAAUUAUAUCUCUAGGCAUGCACAAUCAUCAUUUGAAAAUUCGAGAAGUUUAAGUGUAGGUACUACAUAUGAAUAUGAUUAGGGCAUGCACCUUUUGCUUAAAUCUGAAAUUUGCCAGCUUUGUUUUAUGAUUUUAUGCAGCAUAAGCAAUCAGCAGCAAUGCAUGUCAUGAAUGAAAUGAGAAAUUGACUUGGUACUUUGUGCACACGUUAUUGCUUUUAAUAUUGGCUUCUCAAGGUACUAUACGAAUAAUCUAAUUAAGAAGGAAAAAUAUCUACAAGACAUUUAGAAAUUAAUGGGAAAUCCAAAAAUUAACAAAUUUAUAAACCAAUCGAAAUCUAGGACUGCUCUUUAAAAAUAUAAAAUUUUAGCCACUCCAAAUGCGUAUUUCCUUUUUGUUGAAUUUUGGUCAUGUGUCUAUUUAUUAUAUAUAAAUAUGAUUAGCCAUAGUGAGGGAUACGUACGCAGAGAGUAUAGCGAGACUUUUUCUUUUAAACAACAUAUACACUAAUUUCCAUAUCUUCCAACCUUGUCAAUAAAAAUUAUUAGGGGGGAUAGAAAACGUUCCAAAUCUAUGAUUUGAUUAAUAUUGACUUUUCUCAUUGACUGAUAUGCUAAAAGACCUUUUAAGUUCGAUCAAUUUCUCAUGUUUACCACCAGAAUAUAGAAGAUCGUGCAUAUUACAUCUAUUGUUUCAACAAAGCUUUCUGCUCUAAUAAAGCUGUAGCGUCGAAAAGUUGACUAAAGCAUGCACGUACAAGGCCUAGCUACGUUAGAUAUUAAUUAAUUAGCUAGCUAGAGUUGGUUUCUUCUAUUUAUUGACAAAAGGGUUUCAUAUUGAUCAAGGAAUUUUUUUUUUUAAAUGCACAGUUUUAAGGCCAGCCAAAAGAAAUUAAAUUAAAACUUCAAAGCUGAUGAUGGAAACUGAUCAAAGGAUCCAUCACAAAUAAUGAAAGUAAAAAAAAACCAAUCUCACUGACCUGGCCAUAUAGGACAGUGCUCUGCAAACCAUCCUGGAAUUUGAGGAUGAUCAAGGCCCUUAGUUUUUUGAUCUGCUGAAGAAUCAAAUUCAGUCUGAUCGCCAUUUCUGCUCUCAGUUUCAGAUUUUCGAGGGAAAUCAACUUUCAAAUCUUUGAGAACUUCAGAGGAAAUAAUGCCAUUUGUAGUUCCUGUCAUUUGUUCUUCUUCUUUAAUUUGUCUAGCUAGCUAAGCUUUUCCUGCUUCCCCUUCUCCAUAUGUUUAGGCUGUUUAAAUAACAGUAGCUAGAGAAGAAAAAGAGAAGGUUCAGAAUUAGAAUAAGAAACAAAACAAGGAAAUUUUUUAAAAUUAUUUAGGUUGGUGUUCACAUUUUGAUUUACUAAGAUUCACUUAACAAACCAGUUUUCGGUAAAUUAUAGCAUGCAACUUUAUGGUCUCACUUAAGAUUUUGGAUUCUGUAAUAAACACACCAAAUCUGUGCACUUUGUUCUUUUCUUGCCUUUCUUUGAACCCACCAUAAACUUUUAUUUAUUUAUUUAUUUAUUUUAAUCUUGACUUAAUUGAAAUGUGAAAAAUAUGACAUGCACAAAUAUUAAAGCAGAUGAAAAACGAUUACCAUAUAUAGGGAAAAUUAUUAUGUGACCUUUUGUAGUUUUUAUCCAAAAUAAAUUGAAUCUCUUAUAAUUUCAAAAUCUGGUUACAUCCAUUAAUUUAAACACUUGAAUGUUUAUCAUAUUUUAAUUUUACCUUCCUUAAUUCCAUAGGAAGAUAAGUGUGUGUGUGUGUGUUUUUUUUUUUUAUAUAUAUAAAUUAAGUGGAUUACCAAUUACUUUAAUAAUGAUGAAUAGUAAAAAAAAAAAGAGAGAGAGAGAGAGAAUAUGACUAUUUCAUCUUCUAUAGAUUUUUUUUUCACUAUUUGAGACCCUUUCAUCAUUGACAUUAAUUAAUUUUUUUAAAAAAAGAAGAAUAAAUAUGACAUUAUAAUAUAUAAAUUAUAUUAAUGAAAAUUUUCAUCAAUGUUCCAACACCAUGGAUGAAAGGAAUAAUAAAAAUUUAUAAGCAUUGAAGUGUUAGAAAAAGAAGAAUUAAAGAAAAAUCUACUGAGAGAUAAACUGUCAAUUUCUCUAUAAGACAAUUCUUAAAGAAACCCUCCUCAACUCGAGUCGUGCAAAAGAAUAAAAAAAAAAAAAAAAAAAUUUGGGGUCCUUGAAAAUAAAUCGACAUAAUACUUAAAAUUCAAAAAUUGAGGAUUCCAAAUAAUAUUGGUAAUUGUAAUUAUAAGAGAGUAAUGAUUGACCCAAGAAAUUAUCCAAAAAAAUAAAAAUAAAAAUAAAAAAUGGUUACUUUGCGGUCUUGCUUUUAUAUCGAUUGGGGAUUUUUGAAGUCCAAAUCAAGACUUGCAACGUCGACGUUCGAUCUGGGACGACAGGGAAAAAAAGGGCGUUUAAAGCCAACUCAAAUUUGUUGGCCAAAAAAUGAGUUCAUAUUUCUUUCUUUGUUUGAUUUUACCUUCUUUUUCGCCACUUGUUAACUUUCUUUAAUUUUUUUGACCCUUUAAACUAAUUAAAUAAGUCUUAUCAUUAUUAACUCUUUUUAUCUUUUUCUAUUUCCCAUCUCCUUUCUAGUGUGUUGACUGUUGAAAAUAGAAACUUACCCCAUGCGAUUAACCCAUAUGAGACAUUCGCAUUAGCAUUAUUAAAGAAAAUCUAAUAUAUACAAAUAUCCAAAUGCAGCGAAUUGGGCAGUCCUGAAUUUUCUGUAUAGACAGACUCUUUUUACAUGCUUAUAAUCUCAACUUUUUUUCACAUUUAAACCGUUUCUCAUUGUUGAAAACACAUGGAAUACACAAUAAAGGAGGAAUACAUUCUGAAAUUAUAAAUUAGGUCUUGAUAAUAGACUUAAUGUUACAAUAAUUACAUUAAUGAGAUAACAAAAUAAAUAAGAAAAAAAUAAAAUACAAACCGAGGCUUGCAUGAUUACACAGUUUCUUUAAAACAGAUUCACCUCCUACUUGUAGGUGUUAUAAGAUUUGAAGAGCAUCUAUUUCCUAAGAUAUAACAGUAAUGAAUAGCUCUGGCACUCUACCAUGUUCAAUUCCUUUACAAAAAACUUUUGUUGUGUCUAAACUUAAUUAAAAUAGAUAUACGACAAAGCAGUAAUUGAAGAUUAUCUAGUUAUAUUCCUUAAAUCUGUCACUUAUUUCUAGACAAUCUAUGUGUCUCUUGCAUUUAUCUAACACGUCUUCUCUAAAAAUGUUGUUGUUGCAGAACCAUGUAUGAAGUGUGAAAUGUUAAAAAUGUCUUCUCUAACAUGUCUUCAUUCGUUAUUUUCUCUCCACAUGGCCUUAACUUUGAAGUGAUUCUAUAGAGCACAGAAUUGUAAUCAUGGACUGAUUUGAAGUCUUGCAAUCAGAGCUAAUUCCAAUCGCUGCGAGUAUUUUGGAAGAAUUAUUGAUUUAAAAUAGCUAUAUCUCUCAUAGAAGUUGCUCCAAAGGACAUGUGAGUCCUUUAAUUUGUAGCAAGAUAUUCUAUCUUCAGUAAUUUGUAGCUCCAAAGGACGAUCAUUGUCUUGGCACAUUCUUGAGUAGAUAAGUCAUUAUUAAGCUUGGUUGUGUUGCCGACGUUGGUGCCUCAAGGUGAAUUUCUACACCAAGGAUCCAUGACAAGUAGGUUUCAUUAAAAAUGUCAAGGGCUUCAAUUUUGAGAUUUGUUAUAUUAGCCAUCUUCAAGUUCUUAGAUGAGUCUUCAAAUAAAAUCUUCAGAUAUCUUCAAAGUUUUUAAUUUCUACACCAAGGAAUAAUUUCCAUAAACUUAAAAUUAAGUAAUGAAUAAUCAUUUGUAUUAUUUAAUUAGUUUGAUUAUUUUAAUUUAAAGAAUAAAUCAGGUGAUCUUGUUAUUUUUUAUUUAAAAAUAAUAAACUCCACAUAUUUGAUUUAAUUAAUAAAUAAAAACAUAAAUAUUAUAAUGUAUAUAUAUAUAAGAUUAUUGUUAGGGAAAUUGAAUUUUUGGGUAGUAUAAUAAUAAUAAUAAUAAUAAUAAUAAUAAUAAUAAUAAUAAUAAUAAUAACAAUAAUAAUAGUAGUAGUAGUAGUAAUAAUAAUGUUGUUGUUGAUAUUAUUAUUAUUUUGUGAGAUGGUAGAAGAAAAUUGUUCAUUCUAAAACUUAAUACUGUAUUGAAAAUAAGAAAAAUAAGAAAAAAAUGUUUUCUUAUUUCUUUUGUUAAAAGUGUAGAAUGAAUUUUAUAUUUUCAAAAAUAUUUAAAAAAAAUGAUCUAUCAAAUGCAUAUUUAAUAUUUUCUGAAUUCAGAAAAUUAAAAAAAAAAAAGAUUUGAAAACGGAUCCUUAGAUUUGCCAGAGGCAAUAUUCAUUCAUUUACAAAAGUUAUGUGUGUGUGUAUUGGGUUCCUCUCUCAUUCAAACUUUUGCCAACUUUUCCCCUGCCUUUACUAAACAUCCGUUGAAAACUGACAUUUUUGUUUCUUUUACAGUUUUGAUCCUAAUUAAAAUCAGUGAUGACAUCGUUAUUUUGUCAUCAUACUUUAUAUACUCGCAGUAUCAAGUAAAAAUACUCCUCAUCCCAUUUGAACAACGUGUGUAAAGAUCGAAGUAUCCUUUUAUAACCAAAUCUAAUUAAAAUUUAAUAGAAUUUGAGGUUUCUAUAAUGUUGGGAGUAGACUGAGCUUUCUCAUUCUUUCUAUAUGGGGGUUAAACUAAAAUUUACCCUAACACAUCAAUUAUCACAUAAUCGAGAAAAUUAAUUUGACAAGUUGGGCAGUUUUUUCUUUCUCUUUCCCCCCUUUUUUUUUUAAAUGAUGAAAAGUUGUAUUAAUAUAAAAAUUGAAGAAAAAAAUUAUAAGCUGGGUAGCAAAUCUACACUUGGAAAGACCCCAUACAUCUCAGAUUAGACUCUUGUGAAUGGGUUGAGGGGCAAAAUCCCACCAUGUGAAAGCACUGCAAGCUAAUCUCACAUUUUUUAAUCUAUCAGCUACCAAAUGUGUACACACACACCCCUCUCUGCAAACGUGAGAGCAAGGAAAAUCUGGAAGACUGAUCAAGUUUCUACAAUUUGACCAACGACUUUGAAAGGCUACCAAGAAGGUGAGAAAUCUGAAAUUUGGAGACAAUUAAUGGCAGCUAAAGAGUCACUCUCAAGCCAAACUUUAUGGAUAAAGAUUCUUUUCUGAUUUGAUCUUCAUCUGAACAAAUUUUAUUAAUAUGAUUGGUGGUUAAUAAAUUAAAAAAAUUAAUUAAAUCAUAAUUAUCUACUAACACUAAAACACAGGUGGCAUAAGAUCUGUAAAAAAUCAAGAGUGUUCAAAUUAGGAGAGAAUUUUGAUCCAAACUUUAUACUACCCAUGCUCAAUAGCUAUCUAAAUUGCCAAAAUUAUAGCAAAAAUCUGAGUAUAAAAUUAACUCUCAAAGGCUGCGCAAAACACCCUUUAAAGGUACCAUUAAAUUGGUGUGUUGGCCAAUUUGACUCUCUAUUAGUGUAUUUGGGACAAUCUUAAUUACUUCAUUGAUCAGUUUUAGCCAACGUGUUAUCAUGAAGAUUAAUUAGUACCUGCUUGAUGGCACCUUAUAAUUCUCUAAAAAAAAUAAUAAAUAAAAUCCAAUAAUUAAAAUUUUAAAAAUUCAAAUUGUUGGCUCCCCACAAAUCUCUCAACAGUCAUUUGGCGUUUGAGUUUGACCCCUCUAAUAUGUUUGUGUUAAUGAAACUAUCAAAACCACUCGCCCACCCACAAAUCACGUGCUUCAGUUUUAUCUUCCAUGAAUGAAAGAAGCAAAAGAAAAAGAAGGAGAAGAUGAAUACCCUCCAAUUGUACGCGUCGUCUGGGUUGACAAAAACGUUGUCCCUGGGACACAAAGACAAGCCAUGGCUGAGUUACAAAAUCCUGGAACCUCAGAGCGACUUUGUAAACAAAUGGAAUCACAUAUUUUUUGUAGCAUGUAUCAUUGCCUUGUUUCUGGACCCUCUCUACUUUUACGUCCCAAUUAUUUCCACCGACUUCACAUGCAUGACGGUCGAUUACACCUUAGUUAGGGCGGUCACUUUGUUGAGAAGCAUGGUGGACGCUUUGUUCUUCGCGCACAUUAUUGUUAAGUUUAGGACAGCUUUCGUGGCCCCUAGUUCUAGGGUUGUUGGAAGAGGAGACCUUGUGAGGGACCCCGGUGUCAUUGCUAGACGCUACCUGAAGUCUGAUUUUAUUGUUGAUCUUGUAGCUACGCUUCCUCUUCCCCAGGUGAUGAAUGAUGAUGACUAGAACACACACCUAUAUCAGCCGGUUGUGGUCUGUUGUUAUAUAUGCAUGUGCACACCAGAGAAUUAAUUUUCAAUUGAUAAUUAAUUACUAUAUAUAUAUAUUAUAAUUGGUGUUGCUUGCAUGCAGAUUACUAGCUAUUUGGUGAUAGUGAUUCCAGGGACAGAUUAUCAAGCACCUGAUCAUGCCAACGGCACUAUUGUUUUAAUUGUUUUUCUUCAAUAUAUUCCAAGAGUUCUCAUUUUGAUUACUCUUAACGAACGGAUUAUGAAAACUGCUGGGGUUAUAGCCAAGAUUUCUUGGUCGGGGUCAGCUUUCACUCUCCUUUUCUAUAUGCUUGCCAGCCACGUACGUACGUUGUCACCCUUUUAAUUUUAAUAUAAGAGUAAAAAAAAAAUUUACAUGUUUCAAUAUAUUACAAGUAUGUUAUUUAUUUAUUUUUUCGUAUUUUAAUAUCACCUUGAGAAUGUUAAGUAAAUAUACUUUCCUUAACAACUGCUACAGCUAGCUUUCAUUGCAUAUAAUUAAAACCAAACAGACCAGAGUGUUUAAAUUGUGGUUUCAGAUUAUAGGAGCUACAUGGUAUUUCUUCUCUUUUAAGCGGCAGCAUGCAUGCUGGAUACAAGUGUGUGAGGGAGAGAGGAACUCAACCCACUCCCCAUCUUGUGAUCCCAUUUUUAUCGACUGUUCUGUUAGUGAGCUACCUGAACGCAAUGCUUGGCUGGAGCACUCAAGCCUCUAUGAUGAAUGUGCUACAGAAGAGCAACAAUUUCCAUUUGGAAUAUUUUAUGAUGCUAUUGAUAAACAAGUUGCUGAAACAAAUUUCAUCAGAAAGUAUUGCUACUGCCUAUGGUGGGGUUUGAAAAAUCUAAGGUAUAUAUGUAUAUAUAUCACUUCUGUUAAUUAAGGACUUGUGUUUCUGUAUUCAGCAGCAGAGAGAGCAGAUGGUGUUAAAAAAGUUUUUAAAUUUUGACUUGGGUUCUUACACAUUUUCCAAUCAUUUUUUUUUCCCUCUCCAAUGUGCAGCUCAUACGGACAAAAUCUAACGACAAGUACUUACAUCCUUGAAAUAUUAUUCAGCAUGGUCAUUUGCAUCCUUGGUCUAAUCCUGUUCUCAUAUCUCUUAGGAAAAAUGCAGGUAAGCUCUUUACACUAUCUGCUAGACAUAGCAAUUAAUGCUACACUCGUGUGUUACAUAAAUCUUAAUUGACGAUGUUGCUUCUUAGUCUUGAAUGCAAAAAAUUUAUAGAUAUAUCUUGAUGAUAUUAAUUCAAGAACUAUGUGCAAUCCACAACUGCUAAACUAGAAGACUGGAGGAUUAGAAGGAGAGAUACAGAGGAGUGGAUGAGGCACCGUCAAUUGCCAGAAGGGCUUCGAGAACGUGUGCGCCGGUUUCUUCAAUACAAGUGGCUUGCCACCAGGGGUGUGGAUGAAGAAUCCAUUUUGCAAUCUUUACCUUUGGAUCUCCGACGCACUAUUCAGAGGCAUCUUUGUCUAGCCUUCGUUCGACGGGUAAGCCCCCUUAACCCUUAAUUGAUGACUACAUUUCAAGUGAUAAAUAAAGCACGCCUAGCUCUUUGCUUGAUUAAUUUCUCUUUAGUAAUUGAUUGAAAGAUGAAUAGAGUUGGGAAAUUAUGUUUUGUACUGUUUUCUUCAGGUUCCAUUUUUUGCACAAAUGGAUCAGCAGCUCUUAGAUGCCAUAUGCGAACGUCUCUAUUCAUCUUUGAACACCAGAGAUACAUACCUCAUUCGCGAAGGCGAUCCAGUGAACGAAAUGAUUUUCAUCAUUAGAGGACAGGUAGAAAGCUCAACAACAAAUGGAGGAAGGGCAGGAUUCUACAACUCGAUCACUCUCAAGUCGGGCGAUUUCUGCGGCGAAGAACUGUUGACAUGGGCCCUAAUGCCAGUCUCCACACUCAAUCUGCCGUUAUCAACGAGAACAGUCAAGUCACUGACUGAAGUUGAAGCAUUUGCACUCAGAGCUGAGGACCUCAAGUUUGUUGCAAGCCAGUUUAAGCGCCUACACAGCAAGAGACUACAGCAUGCAUUUAGAUACUAUUCGCACCAAUGGAGAGGCUGGGGAGCUAGUUUUAUUCAAGCAGCUUGGAGACGAUAUAAGAGGCGAAAGAAGGCGGUGGAGCUGGCGAUAAAAGAAGGGUUGUAUGAAAUUGUAGAGGAGGAAUACCCCGUAGAAGACUCUGCGGGAGGAGCUAUUGAGUCUGGCGCUGAGGGGCUAGCAGUUGAAUAUGCAACCGAUGCAGAGAGUCCUGGUACUGCACUACUGGCUCCAAGAUUGAGCACAAAACGGCUGAGUCUGAGGGUACCAGCAUUUAAUCCUGACGAUUCCAGCAUGAAAAUGCCUAAGCUGUUUAAGCCUACAGAUCCUGAUUUCUCUGCGGACCAUCAUGAUAAUUGAUCUUGUUGAUCUUGAUGCGGAUGGAGAGUGUUGUUUUAGUUAGUAUUUGAGUCUCCGCAUAUGCUUAAUUAGUGGCUGGAGCUCAAAGCAUUUGGCUUUUAGGCCUCAGAGUUCACAAAAGAAUAUCAGGAUUCAGUACUAUAGAAUUAAUAAUAUAUGUCAACAUUUUAAAUUUCUUUCGGAAAAAGAAAAAAAAGAAAAAAGAAUGCCUCACAACACUUGCUUUUUUGUUAUGACUUGCUCUAAUGGAUCUUGAAACAGAGCAUUAUAAAAAAAACAAAAGAAACAAACGAUCGAAGGCAAACAUAUCCUAGCUCUCUAAGCAUGAGAUGUGAAGUGGAAAUUGAAACACGUUGUUUGGCAAAACGCAAAAGGGGACGUUUCGUGUUAAAUGCUAAUUACUGUUAAUUAUGGCAGAUGGAUUUAGAGUGAUCAGCCGACGAUGAGUUUCUUUUUUUCGAUGAAAGAAGAAGAAAAACAAUACUACGUCUUAUAAUUGCUCGACUUUUAUAUCUUGUAUUUAAAUUUUACAAUAGCUCAUAAAAUUGGCUAAACUUAGGUAGUAUUUAUUUUUUUUGUCUAAAAUCUAAAUGGGUCUGAAUUUUUCUAAAGUAUGGAUAGGUCUGAUUACGAAAAUCCAAAUGACAUAUUUGUUUUUCUUUUUUAAAUAUCUGAAUAUAAGUGACAUCUUAUUUGUUUUUACAAUAAAAAAAUCUUAAAUUUAGUUAUUUGACAUUUGUGUUCUGGUCAAUUAAAACAAAAAAAGAGAAUUAGAUUUUAUAGUUUAAGAAAUAAGUUAUUUUACAGAGAUAUUUUUGAAAUAUAAUAUUUACUUGUCAUUCAGACUUUUUUCUAUUCAGAUCAAAAUCAUAAAAAUUUACUUUUUUAUUCAAAUGUAAAUGUCUGAAAAUCAUAUAUAAAUUUCAAAAAAUAAAUAAAAAUAUUUUAAAAACUAAGACUAUAUAAUUAUAUUAUUGUUUAUUUGACAAAAAAAAUGGGAAAUUUACACCAAUAGCCAUAAAAAUUUUGGCUUUUUCCAUCUUAACCCCCCAAACAAACUUCUAUCAACAUUAGCCAUAAAAAAGCCUUUGAGGCCAAAAUACCAUUCUCUCUCAUCUCUCCCCCAACAAUCUCUCUUUCUCCCAUCUCUCCCAAACCGAAAAACCUCCCAUCAUCGGCGGCUAGGAGACUGCACUGAGAGAGGCAAAGGAAUAAAUAAGGGCAAAACUCAUUUGUUAAGUUAUUGAUGCAGGAUCUGAUUAUGGGUAUGAUGAGCUUGUUUGGUCCUCGUCUGACACCAUUAAGGAAGCUUGGUGGCUUGGUGCGACAGGUUGCCUGUCGCUCGAAGCUUUGUGCGACAGGCAGCCUGUCGCCAGAUUCACCCCGACUCGCAAUUCACUGAAAAUCUCGAGCAAGUUGAGAAAAUAACUCAUACCACUAUGUGAUACCGAUUAGUGUUGGAUCCAGAUAGAUUAUUAUCGGAUUUCACUUUUAUCGUUACCUUUUAUCGUCGCCGUUGGUUGAUGAUUCAAGAGUAGAAAGCUGCAUUUGGUUUAACGAAAGGGGAGAAAUGAAGUUGCUUUUGGUUUGUAAAUAAAGGUAAUUUGGGGAGAGAAACGUAUGUUUGGCUAAUGUUGAUAGAAAAAAGUUAAGAGGAUUAAUUGUGAAAAUAGUAAAAAUUUUAUGGUUAUUUUCAUAAAUUUCCCAUAAAAAAUUUGGGUCCAAAGGACGCUAUAGAAUAAUUCCACCCCUGCAUCCUUCGAAGUAAGACUGCCAUAGGUUAUCUGGGAGAUAAUAAACCUAUCAGCUAAAAUUCUGCCAUUUAUCAAAUCAGUAAAUCCUAAAGUAAAAUAAAUGGAUUCCUAACAUACAAUUCAUCCCUCUUUCAAAUGACACGGCGUUUUCUGCUUUCCUGGACAGAGAUCUGUUUGUAUCAAAAGAUAAUAAUGCUUAAUUAAACACUGGGACCUACUCGCCGCUGGCUCCCAUCAUCUAACCUAACGCUUUUACCCAAUUUUAUUUAUUCAUUUAGUUUCGGCAUUUAAAAAGAUUACGCAUUAAUCUAGGCUCAUUAUUAUGAUAUCUUUUGGUAGAAUAUUCCAUAACAAAACAGAAUCAAUCGAUUGAGAUGGACCACCUUACCAUACUACACUUUUAACUUUAUUUCAAUAUAUGGUCGUGUCGUGUGUUUGAUUCUUAGCCGGGAUAUUUCAUAUUUAUAAGCAUCAUAAAAAUAAAAAAAAAAAAAAAAAAGUGCUAGCAAAUUUUUUGGUCUUUUAAGGUACUUCAAUGGAAAAUUAUUCGUCAUCCUCUCAAAGUCUUAUUUUAAAACAAACAAAAUAAAUUAAAAAUAAAAUAUUUGUUACUUGUUCAACUAUUUAUUGAUUGUCUGUAAAAUGCAUACCAUGUAUAUUUUUAUAAUCGGUCUGGAAGUGUAGUAAGAUAAUUAGACUGUUAAAAUUUAAUUAUUAAGAUAUUUAAUAACACUUGUAGUUAUAUCUUAAUAAUUUAAUAAAAAAAUUUCUCAAUUUCUACUCCAUAAUUUUAAUUUUUAUUUUAUAAUAACUAUAAUUUAAAAAAUACAGGACUUCACUCCCAAACCUUAGAGGUGUUAUUUUUGGGCUAAAGAAAAGGAAUCAAAUUCAGACAAAGAAUCAGAAACUAGAAAGUCCCAAAGACGGCUACGUUUGCGGUGCAAAAGUUGCACCAUACAACUUUUUUUUUUUGUUCUUAUCCGAAGUAACCGUUGGAUUCAAAGUAAGGUGAUCAGACAGUCAAUAGCUUCACACGUGGCAUAAAGGAUACCAAUCAAAUCGGUUAGUGCUCCUCCACAUCAAACUCACCAGCAUGGUUAUCAUCGUAUCAGCAAUCAGCUUUUGAAACUUGUUACAAGUAACGAAGAACAACAGAGUCCGCUCCUCUAAAGUCAGAAAACCAAGUGCUUGACAAAAGUACUAAAAGAAGAGCAAUCUCGAAAACUGGUACGAGGAUGACAGUGAAGCUUUUUAAUCAACUUUGUUUUUUUAUUCAUUAAUCUAUUGUUGUAAAACCAAGAUAAAAUUAAAUCGAUUUCUUUCUUCUUCUUUUUUUCAAUUGAAAGUUAUAAGUUGCGACAUGGUUAGCUCAGUAUUUAGAAUAACAAUUUACGCUGAUGAUUGAGGAUAAGGCUUAAUAAACCAAUAGUAUUAACGACUGAAUCACAAAGACACAAUUCAUAAUUUGACGCCACUCAUUUUCUGCAACGCGUUCAAACUGCUGCCGGUAACCAUUUAUUUUUUUAAUGAAUAUUUUUCGACCGUUAGAUUUAAUAAGGAUGCAUCCAACGGAUUUUGAAUCUGUUAAAGAUAAUCAUUUUUAAGUGCGAGUGUUUUUUUUUUUUUAAUAUGAACAUGUUCUUAAAUCAGACAUUUAAAAGAAUUUUUAAAAAAAUUAUAAAAUCAUGUGUUUUAUAAUAGUUAAAAACUAAUCCUAAUAAACUUUCUUAAGUUAAAAAAUAGUUUGUAUAAAAAGAAAACUUUUGUUAAAGACAUGCUCUCCCUUAAAAAGCCAAACCGGAAGGCCUCGAAAACAGCUCGAUACGCGCUUCCCCACGCGUGGAUAGGAGAACGAGGGGUAUCAAUAUCAUUACUCAAAGUAAGCAUUUGCCGCCCAGCAUGCAAAAGUUAAAACGUCUUCGUCUCUUAGCAUAUCCUAAGGGGCCUGCUCUGCUGCUGCACUCAAAACAUUGUCGCCUACUAAACACACCAACUUUUGCAUCAUUUGAUUUUGAUCCCGUAAAAAUCAAAUAUUAUUUCCUGUUAACAUAAAUUAAUACAAACCAACCACUUCAAUGUAUAUACUAUCUUAUCUUCUCCUCAUCCACCAAAAAAAAAAAAGAGCUUUAUUGCUGGACAUGGACUCAUUCGCAUUUGUGCUUUGGCCGGUCACUUUCUAAAACGUAUAUUUUAUUUAUUUAUUUAAAGGAAUAAAUAAAUAAUAAACUUGUGAAUUUGGAUACACAUGUGUGAUGUGUCCAAGAAGUGGCACUCGCCAGCUUGAAUAAGAGUGUAGAGUGUGAGAUUUUUGUUUCUAUGCAUGCAGUUGCAGGCUUAACUUGCUAGGACAAAAGUUGCAGAGAGAGAGAGAGAGAGAGAGAGAGAGAGAAGAGUUGAAUAGGUCGCUUCUUCGCUUUGGCUAUGGCAGCUGCUCGCAGAAUCUCCACCUUGCUGUCUCGUUCUUUCCCUUCUGCUUCUCCUUCUCUGCUUCGCUCUCUUGGUAUUUUUUUUCUUUUUUUUUUUUAAAAUAUUUACUUCUUAGUUUAUGUUAUUAUUUUUUAAUUUUAUUUUUUCUUCAUGUUUUGAUUGUUUGGUAUGUGUUUAUAUGGCUUUUGAAUGUCCAUCGCGAUAAGUUUUUUAUUUAUGUACCCUUUGUUUCCGUUCAUUGGCUGAGAAAUUUGCGGGAAAAUUAUUAGAAUUUUUUUCUUAAUCUUGUUUUUGUUGAUAUAAAGUCUGCUUUGAGUCUACCGUAAUAAUCAUAUAACUAUAAAAGUAAUAUUAAUUUUCAUCCUUAAAAUUUUAUUCUGAAACUCACUGUUUAUACAAUAUGAUAUUUAGGUAGGGAGUCUAGCAGGGCAAGAGGCAUCAGCAGGUUUAGCACAGCUGCUGUUGUUGAAGAGCCAAUCAUUCCACCUGUUCAAAUUAGUUACACUAAGAAUUUAAUAAAUGGCCAAUUUGUAGACGCAGCAUCAGGUAAGAUGAUUGUUUCCUGAAAUUUUGGAGCUCAUUGUUUCUGUUGCUGAUAAUGAGCCCAAUGUUGGAAACUUGUCUGGCCUUAGGCAAAACAUUUCCGGUCUACGACCCUCGUACUGCUGAAGUGAUUGCUAAUGUUGCUGAAGGAGAUGCGGAAGAUAUUGACCGUGCAGUUGCUACUGCUCGCAAGGCAUUUGAUGAGGGACCUUGGCCAAAGAUGACCCCUUAUGUACGAAAGCCUCUAUUCUUUCUUUGUUACUACAUUACGAAUUAUCAUGUAAUGAUUUUAGAUUUUAAUCUUUCAAUUUCUUUUAUUCAGGAGAGGUCAAGGAUUAUGUUGCGGGCUGCUGAUUUGAUUGAGAAAAACAUGGAGGAGCUGGCAGCUUUGGAGACAUGGAACAAUGGAAAGCCCUAUGUACAAUCUCUCAAAUCUGAAGUACCAAUGGUGGUUCGCCUGUUGCACUAUUAUGCUGGUUGGAUUUUUACUAAAAUGAAUUUCAUUUCACCUCAUUAAGUGUUAAUUGUUGAAUAUCUAAUAUUUUCUCUGUUAAUAUCCAGGCUGGGCUGAUAAAAUCCAUGGACUAACUGUCCCUGGUGAUGGAAAUUACCAUAUUCAAACUUUACAUGAACCAAUUGGCGUUGCUGGCCAGAUAGUUCCCUGGAACUUUCCUGUUCUCUUGUUUACUUGGAAAGUAGCGCCUGCACUAGCUUGUGGUAAUACUAUUGUUCUAAAGUCUGCUGAGCAAACGCCUUUGACUGCUCUGUAUUUGGCAAAGCUAUUCCAUGAGGUAGAAUCGGAAACAAUUUUGUUAUAUUCUCUUAAUCAAAAGUGCUUUUCCUCUUGCAUAAUUCAAUGCAAAUCAAGCGAUGGUCUAAUGCAGAUAAGCUAGCAGAAAUUCACUGUUAGAUGAUUGUUAUGCUAUACCAAUAUGAAAGUAAAUUCAUGUCGUAAUGCAAUUUCCUCAAAUCUUACUUUUUAUUUCAUGUUUGAUUUGUCUUCUUUUCUGUUGGCACCAUUGUUCAGAAUAUGAAGAGCAGAUACUGGUAUUAUCUCUUUACUGAUUUUCAAAAUGUGACAGGCUGGUCUUCCCCCCGGUGUUUUGAAUGUAGUCUCUGGUUAUGGUCCAACAGCUGGUGCAGCUCUUGCCAGCCAUAUGGAUGUGGACAAGGUAGUUCUUGAGCUCUACCUAUUAUUCAUUAUUGUCAGAAUAUAAUUUCUGGCGUAUGUCACAUCCUCAUUCAUCCCUGUACAAUUCUCUGGUUUAGAGUUGCCUUCAUGUUCUGUUAAAUGAAAUUAAGGAUGAGUUAUGCCUUGGUAUUUUGGAGGGUGGCCACACAUGAUCCAUCAAGUGGAAAAUUAUCUCAAAGCUUCACGCUUGUUUGUCCAAGAAGCUUAUUUGGCAAUUUUUUAUGCUUGAUUUCUUUAAUAUAUAUAUAUAUAUAUAUAUGUUCGACCAGUUGUAGUUUAACCAUCAAUUAUGUGGAUUGCCGCUUGACUGCUUUUGGAACACAAUUUAACUAUUUCUGGUGGAUAACAUUUUUACUUGCCACUUAUGUUGUAUAUUAUACAAGCCUAAGCAUGCGUUAUUAUCACAUUUGGCAUGCUUACAAAACACAAGUGACUAAUAACCUCCUCCCACUACUUUUGCAGCUGUCUUUUACAGGACACUGUGAUACUGGUAAGAUUGUUCAGGAAUUGGCUGCAAAAAGCAACCUUAAGCCAGUAACCUUAGAACUUGGAGGGAAAUCACCAUUUAUAAUAUUCGAUGAUGCUGAUGUUGACCAGGCUGUGGAACUUGCACACUUUGCUUUGUUCUAUAAUCAGGUUGGUUCCAACAAGUUUUUUCCCGUAUUUGCUACUUAGCAUGUGAGUAUACCAUCAUUUGAAAUUUUUCUAUCUGUAGGGACAAUGUUGCUGUGCUGGAUCUCGUACUUAUGUACAUGAGCGUGUAUAUGACGAGUUUGUAGAAAAAGCAAAGGCACGUGCUAUGAGGCGUAUUGUUGGCGAUCCCUUCAAGAAUGGUGUUGAACAAGGUCCUCAGGUACUCUUCUCUGCCAAUCUCCCCUCCCUCUCUGGUAUGUGAUAAUUGGAUUAUUCACCUUAAUUUAACAAUUUUCUAGUUUAUUAGUGCUGCUUUACUUGUUACUUUGAAAUAGAUCUUAUGUAUUGUUGCCACCUCACAGUAACAAAGCAGGACAGGAAUGGUGCAUUCUCCAUUGCUAAAAAUCUAAGUUUUAUAAAAAGAACAACACUAGCACUUAUUUUAAAGUGCCCUUAUAGUAGAUGGCAAAUAUGCUCUCCAUAUAUUUUUGUAUAUCUGCAAGUAAAUCUUGGCAAGCAAUAUGAUCCCUCUAUUCAUUUUAAUUUAUGUGUGAGUAGUAUGUGUAGCUGAGAAGCAAACUAAUACCGCUCUUGAACCUAUGAAAAUCUCAGAUUGAUCCAGAGCAAUUUCAGAAGGUCCUUAGGUACAUAAGGUCUGGAAUUGAAAGCAAUGCAACCCUUGAGUGCGGAGGUGAUAGAUUGGGCAACAGAGGCUACUUUGUUCAGCCAACUGUCUUCUCAGAUGUUACGGUAUCAUUCAUUUCUCUCCUACAAUUUCUCAUACCAAUUUUUUCUUUCAUAAUACUCUGUGUUGUUACUGAUUGCACUUCUAUAAAAUAGGAUGACAUGUUGAUAGCACAGGAUGAAAUCUUUGGCCCGGUGCAAUCCAUCUUGAAGUUCAAGUGAGUAAAGAACUUCCUCAUCCGUGUUUAUUAGAGAUCAGUAGCAUUGCAUUCCCUUCUCUCUUAUUCUUUUUUUUUUUUUUCUGCUUUGUCAGGGAAACUGAUGACGUUAUAAGAAGAGCAAAUAAAACACGCUUUGGUCUAGCUGCUGGGGUUUUCACCAAGAGUGCAGACACUGCAAACACCAUGAUGCGUGCACUGAGAGCUGGGACUGUAUGGAUUAACUGCUACGACGUGUUUGAUGCUGCUAUUCCUUUCGGUGGGUACAAGCUGAGUGGCAUAGGCCGGGAAAAGGGAAUUUACAGCCUUAACGCUUACUUGCAAGUAAAGGCCGUCGUUCAACCUGUGAAGAACCCAGCAUGGCUUUAGUUUCCUGAAGUUCCCCCUCCCUUUUAAUCUGUGUUUAUGAAUAAGGACAGCGUGCUAAUAUCAGCUUGUAAUUAUGGAGCAAAUGGAUAAUUUACUUUAAAAGAACUUACUUUCUUUUGUGCUGUAAGCACAAUGAUGCCUGUCUGUUGAUCAAGGCAGCUUUCACUGAAAUUUGAAUGGUAUGGAGUGUUAUUGUAUACUUUAUCCUAGAUCCAAGACUGAAAGAUCGAACUGCCAUGAAGGAUUAGCCGGAUUGCCAAACCUACGGUUUGUUCUUUUUAAGGUCUGGGUUCAAGCUUCCAUGGGCACUUCUCUCCGUUUUCACCCAAGCUGGGUACAGAGUUCAUACAUUGAGGCUACCUGGAUUAUCAACGUGAUCAAUUCAAGCUUAUCCAAUUUAAAUGCCAAUAAUAUUUGUUAGGUCUUGGAAAAAUUGUCGGGAAAUUUAUAAAAAUAACCAUAAAAUUUUUAUUAUUUUCAUAAUUAACUCUCUAAAUUUUUUUCUAUCAACAUUAGCCAAACACACGCUUUUCUCCUCAAAUUACCCUUGUUUACAAAUCAAAAGUAACUUUCUUUCUCCCCUUUUAUCAAACCAAACGCAGCUCUGCACUCUUGAAUCGUCACCAGCGACGGCAAAAGGCAACGGUAAACGCCGACGGCGAACGGUAAAAGUGAAAUCCGAUCAUAAUCUAUCUGGAUCCAACAUCAAUCGACAUCACUGAGUGGUAUAAGUUAUUUUCUGAUCUUGCGAGAGAGUUUCAGUGCGGUUGCUUCCUGCCUGUCGCACAAAGCUAUUUAUUUUGCUCAAAAUUUUUUAUUGUUGACAUCUCAAAUUUUUGUUCAUGUUGAAUUUUUUGUGUUAUGAACACUACUAUAAAAUCUAGGAUGCCAACAACAGAAACUUAAAGAUGUGGCAUGAUUAUGAUUUCGCCCUUUAUUGCAGUCCCGCAAUCCCACUCUUCCAGUUCUGCCAUAUUAGCAAAUCUGAGCUGUUUCAAUCUGGGAAAGGCAAUAACUGAGGAGCCAUCCGUAUCACUUUCUACUCCCAGAAAUUCAUUACCCACUCUUUUCACACCCCACAUUCCAUCAAUUUCAAGAUCUUCAAGGGAUGGCAAUUUUCCCAAAGGAGGCAAAUGCUCACAAUUUAUGCACCAGCGGAGACGUAGAACCCUUAAAUUGGUUAAUGACAUGACCCAAUUUUUGGGAACAACAUUCCUCCUGCCAAUGUAUUCAUUUAUCUCUAAAUACUUUAAAUUAGGAGGUGGACCCAAGGCUUCAAGAAGCCGUUCAUCUUCAUCCUCCUCAUUCUCCCUCCUCCCGGCUUGUUCUUCAUCUCCAUCUCUUAAAUGAUCAAAAUGAAGUUCCAACUCAACGAGAUUUUUCUUUUUCUCAAGUUCAGCCCUUCGAGCCUCACCCGCAUCUGACACAUCACCCAGCCCACAUAUCCUGCAGUCUCGAAGGAGAUUAAUUAGUUAUAGGUCAAUUACUUAAAAACUAUAGAAACUUGAAAGAGCAAGUCUUAGAUUGACUUGAAUUUGAACGGAGAGGCAACACAAACAAACGCGUUCAAGCAAAUGCAAAACCAACGAAACCUCAAUCAUCAAGUGGUCCAUUGAUAAAAUAAAAUCCAAUUACAUCGACUGCGCUGCCAAAGUUUUAUAAAAAAAAAUAAAAGCAGCAUCAUCAUGUGCUUUGAGUGAAUGCCUUGAGAACACGUAAGCGUCACCCAAAUUAUUUACACAUGCUCAAUCCUGUCUGUCGCACGAAGCUUCGUGCGACAGGUGCCUGUCGCACAUAGUUUCGUUUAGUUUGAUAAAAGAGAAGAAAGAAAGUUAUUUUUAAUUUGUAAACAAGGGUAAUUUGGGAAGAAAAUUGUGUGUUUGGCUAAUGUUGAUAGAAAAAAAUUUAGAGAAUUAAUUGUAAAAAUAAUAAAAAUUUUAUGAUUAUUUUUAUAAAUUUCCCAAAAUUGUCAGCAAUAAUGUCCAGAUGAGAUCGCUGAGUGGUCGAAAUUACAUGAAACGUGUUGGCAAGCUAAGGAAAUGACGGUUUAGCGUUCAUUACUCGUUAAGAUCAAUUCUUUGUGAACAAAGCAAAGAUUGCUGAUUGCGGUCUGCAUCAAUCAAUUUAUACUCGUACUCGUACAUACGUGAUAUUUGUUUAUAUGCACAUGCUGGUUUGUUUAUUCCGUUAAUAUGGCUUUAACUCACUGGUUCCGAAAAACAUCCAACACGCUGAUUUGCAGAAACGUCAAGAUCGCAAUCAACACCGUUGGCAUGCCAAGAGCCGUUGAUUCAUGUUUGGUCAAAAUAACACGAUGUUUCAGUUAUUAAAACAAGACGCAACCAAAACGGGCGGGGAGGCCGAUUAUCGAGUGGGGCCUCGGUAGUUGGCACCGACUGUUUUACUCGCAAACAUAACAUUCACGAACCCAUAAAUUAGUGACAAAUCAAAAGUUUAAUUCACACCUUUAUGUGUAGUAUUUAAAAUGAAUUAUGCAAUGUAUUGACCACUUAAUUGUCGUCAUGCAAAUAUAAGAAGCGCGUAUUAUUAGUCAUGAAGUUAUUGGUGCACGCAAACAUUGCCAUUAGUCUUAGUCAUAAUUGUUUUUUUUUUUUUUAAUAUGAAAAUAUACGAAAGCAACAAUUAGGAGAGUUUAUGGCCAUAAAGCUAAAAGGGAUUAGUGAAACUUCCAAGAGUUCGCGAAAUGUAAACAGAUUUGCAUGGAUAGCAUGGGACCCCCAUUCAAACGACCCAUCAACCGAUGAGAUUUGGAUUUUGUAUGAUCCCAUAGAUUCUCUCCACCAGAAAAUUCAACAAAUUUCAAGUCGGAAAAAUUGAGUCAUAUUUACAUGCCAAUAUUAUGCACCGCACACACGGAUAGUCCCACCAUCAUAAACGAUAAAACAGUUUUAAUGGCGGAUGGAGACUGGCCGCGAAAGUGGUGAGGAUGAUUUGGCUACAGUGCUGUAAAUUGCCAAACAAAAAAAUGUACAACUACUUACACCACGCCAUGUGUAUAAAAAAAAAAGAGUAAAAAUACAUACAAAAAAAUCACAUGACUCUAUAUUGAGCGCGGAUAAAUUACUAAUUUAGUAUGAAACAUUCCAAUAAAUAAUAUAUGGCUACUAAGAAUAUCACGUGUUGUUGUGUUAAUGAAAUAAAAAUACAUACAAACAUGUUGUCGUGUUAAUAGUUCAGUUAUAGACAAAAAUAAUUAACUAAUCCAACGGCGUAAAAUGAAAUAAAAGGAAGAUUAAUACAUAUUUAGAUAUGACAUUAAAUCUCCCGUCAAGUUCAGUUUUUUCAUUCUUUUAUUCAUAAAAAUUAACAAAAGAAAUCGUCUUUUGACGAAUUUUUGAUUUGAGCAAGAGAAAUUCAUAUCUAGAUUCAAGCACAAAUACUCCUUUUGGAGCACUUCAUCUGGAUGUCGUUCCUAAAACAAUCACCCACGUACACUUUUUACUUCAUUUGAUCAUGAAUCAAACACAGACUUGAGUAUUAGACUAUCCUAUCAAUUGUGUAGUAUUUGAAGCUCGAAGACAACAGAGGGAACACACAGGAUCAUUGCCCCAUUGUUGUUUAUUAAAAUUCCUCCUCCAGUCCAGUUGCCAUGGCUACUUUAAUGAUAAUUCCAAUGAAAAAUUAAUCCUAAUUUAACACGUAAUUGUCUGACUAAUUAACAAUGUUUCCUUCUUCAUCCUGGAAACACACGCAACUUCCUUUUGAAAAUUGAACAAAUGUGAGUCAUUCCCUAAGCUUUGACACUUUGAACAUUCUGACAUGCCCCUCCCCGGGGAAACAUGGCACCUUCUGAUACGUCCACGUGUACGUCGGUUAAUGGGACCCACCUUACUAAUGCCUUUCGAAGCAACGACAAAUCUGCCCGUACAACCCGAACCAGCAUCCUUACAGUUAUUUUACCAGGUUCCAAACGAAGCAACAUCAGGCCAACCGAAUUGCUACACGUGUUACGAACACGUGUUGUGAAAAUCUCGCGCCAUCUCUGAGCAGCACUCGGACACUUCCCAGUCAACCAAGCUAUCCCUGACAGCUCGAUCUCUGCCACGUGUCCUUUAUGAUUUAUCCAAGUUGGUCCUUUAAUGCUCCUUUACAUUUUGGGCCGACUAAUAUAAGUACAGAUAUUUAAUGAAUACUCGUUCAAGUUUUACAUUCAAAACCAAAACUGCUUUGUUCUCCUUUUGUUUCCCUCUGUUUUACUUCAAUGAUAAAAAAAACAAAUCAAUCCGAUCGUCGGGUUUUGUCAUUUCCGGCGGUUCACCCAUGUGAGGCCAUUUCUCCGGCGACGCUGUUGAAUUCUUUGAUCACUCUUGCCAACGGCGUAUGCAGUAACAAUUCAAAAUUCUUUGCGACUCAAAGAAGAAAUGCCCGUGAAGCAAUUCGUCAAAUAGGAAUUCUUUUAAUAUUCUUCGAGGAGAUUCGCGACCGUGGAUUGAAUCUUUCGGACUUGGUGGUUCUUUGCUUUUCGGAGCUUCACUUGACCUUCCAGAAAGUCCAAUUCUUGAUGGAAGAUUGCACCCGAGAAGGAGCCAAGCUCUGGGUUCUAAUGAAGUCUCAGUUUAUUGCAACUCAGUUUCGUGUUCUUAUCCGAGCAAUCGCUACGGCUCUCGACGUUUUUCCAUUGGAUACAGUGGACAUUUGUGGUGAAGUGAAGGAAUUGGUUGAGUUGGUGGCGAAGCAAGCAAGGAAAGCCAAGUUUGAGCUUGACAAGGAGGAUGAGCGAGCCAUGAAACGAGUUCUUUCAAUAUUGAAUUAUUUUGAGAAGGGAAUUGAGCCUGAUUCGGGAUUCAUGACGUGGGUUCUUGAUUAUCUCGAGAUUAAAAGCUGGAGUGAUUGUAACUCGGAAAUCAAGUUUUUGGAAGAACUCGUUGCAUUGGAAUGCUCAGAUUCGGAAGAGAGGGAGGUCCCAUUUCUAAGCAGCCUAGUGGGAUUCAUGAGCUAUUGUAGAGUAGUAAUUUUCGAGACAUUGGAUUAUCGAAGCAGUGAUCAAAUUGACGUGAGAUGCAAUAUGGAGACGCUUAGUUGCUUGAAUCCGGAGGACUUUCGAUGCCCGAUUUCACUCGAGCUAAUGACUGAUCCGGUGACAGUACCUACCGGGCAGACGUAUGAUCGAUCUUCGAUACAAAAGUGGCUCAAAGCAGGGAAUAUGCUGUGUCCGAAAACAGGGGAAAAACUGACAAAUACAGAAUUGCUUCCGAACACAACUCUCAAGAAGCUUAUCCAUCAGUUUUGUGCCGACAAUGGCAUCUCGCUGGCCAAAUCCGGCAGAAAAAGUCGUGACAUAACGAGGACGAUUAUUCCAGGUAGUCCUGCAGCAGCAGAGGCGAUGAAGCUUAUGUCGAGAUUUCUUGCAAGGAGACUGUUUUUCGGAACAAAUGAAGAGAAAAACAAGGCAGCCUACGAAAUUCGUUUGCUUGCAAAGUCAAACAUUUUCAACAGGUCUUGUAUAGUUGAAUCAGGCGCAAUCCCGCCUCUCUUGAACCUUUUAUCUUCACCAGAUCAGUGCGUACAGGAGAAUGCAAUAGCAGCUUUGCUGAAGCUGUCGAAGCAUACUAGUGGCAAGAAAGUGAUAGUUGAAAGCGGGGGACUAAAAGUGAUUCUUGAAGUGCUAAAAUCCGGACUGAGUUUGGAAGCAAGGCAGAUCGCGGCUGCAACAUUGUUUUACCUUACUUCUGUGAAGGGGUAUCGAAAAUUGAUAGGAGAAACACCGGAGGCAAUCCCAGCUCUUGUGAAGCUGAUUGAAGAGGGCACCGAUUGUGGCAAAAAGAAUGCUGUUGUUGCGAUUUUCGGGCUGCUUUUGUCUCAAGGAAACCAUCAGAAAGUGCUUGAUGCUGGUACUGUUCCAUUGCUGGCUGAUAUUUUAGCUUCAUCAAAUAGAACUGAACUAAUAACAGAUUCGCUAGCAGUUCUUGCAAAUUUAGCUGAGGAUAUUCAAGGAACGUCGACAAUUCUGAAGACUUCAGCAUUGCCUGUAAUUAUUGGGCUAUUGCAAACGUUAACUUCACGAGCUGGGAAAGAGUAUUGUGUCUCAAUAUUACUCUCUUUAUGCAGCAAUGCUCGUGAAGAGGUGACUGCAAGUUUGGCGAAGGACCCUUCACUCAUGAAUUCACUAUAUUCUCUCACAACAGAUGGCACAUCCCAAGCAAGAAAAAAGGCGCGUUCCCUCAUCAAAAUUCUUCAUAAAUUCUUUGAAACUUGCUCCUCUGGAGUCGAGGGUUCGGCAGUUCCUCAUGAACGACCGUUUCAUGUCUGGUAAAUUGUUUUAGAAUGAUUCUAUCACUAUCAAUGUAAAUACAGACAUACAAUAUAGCGUACAGAAUCACAUGGUACUUUGAUUGUUUUCAGCUUCUGCGAUUUCAAUUAGCUCAGUUUUUGUAAGAGCUAAUUACUUUUCAGUCUGCUUAGAUUAGAUACAAAUACAUAAAUAGAUAUGUGUAGUUGGCAAUUUUUUUUCCUUUUUUUUUGGUGAUAAAUAAAAUGAUGUGAAGAUACAGAUACUGCUGAGUGAAAUGUAGUUUGAAUUUUGAAGCACAUGAUAGUUUUGUUUGAUUAUACUGUACAACCUGUAUAAAUUAAUAGGAUUGGAACCAUAUAAAAUCUAUUAAUUAAAAGAGAUAUUAAAUAAAUUAAUAAUUUAUUAAUUUACGAAGUUAUUAACAAUUCAAUUAACAUACAUUUAAUAACUAAACAUUUAAUGUAUUUUACUAAUAUUGAAUAUGAAUUAAACUAUACAUUCUAUUGACCAAAAUAAUAAGUACAUUGUGCAUGUUUACUUAAUUAAAUAAUAUUCAUGUUAUAUUAACUUAAUUAAAUGUUAUAUUUUAUAUAAACAAGUACCAAUAAAGUGAUAUUUUAUAUAAUUAAAAUAUCAUACUCAACUACAUUUGUAAUUUCAACAAAUUAUUAAUUUAUGAUUUGAAUGAGAUCACAAAGUCAUAUGAGAUUGUUUUAAUUGAGAUUAUUGAUUUAUUCCAUUGUCAUAGGCCAAGAUUAUGAAAACUUAUUAUAUAAUAGCGAUUAUUAAUUUAUAGAGAUUUUACUGUAUAUAGAAACUCAGCUCCGACAAUUAAAUAGGGAUGUAUGGUUAAUCUUUUUUUGUCAGUGUCUGACAUGAUUUUUUUUUUUUCCUUUCAUUUGCAAAUUUUGCGUGGGCAAAUGAAAUGUGUAUAAUUGUAGAAUGAAAAUUUUCUUGAAUAAAUUUAUCUUCUGUAAAAAAAAAAAAUAUCAUUUAUAAUGACACAAAUCUAUUCACUAAUUUAUAAAUUAACAAUAACAAGGCGUAGUUUGAAAUUUUAAGUAAUUGUAUAUGAUGUAAAAUUUCGAAUUAACCGAUAAUCCUAGAAGUUAAUACUCUCAUCGCCGCGUUAGUGAACGGAAAAAAAAAUUAAAAUCACGCGAUGCAAUAAUAAAAGGCCAAACGACACCGUUUAGGAAAAAAGGUAGUAUGGAUUUAUAGUGCAGCCUUUUCCGUUUAGUGGUCAUUCUCGUCUGAACUAGAACGUUCUAGGAUCGUCCAACGAAACCCUAAUUGUAAAAAUCAAUCUGUUGUAAGGCGGUUUUUCUUUUUUAUUUUUUUGGUCAAUAAAUUAUUCAUCGUCAGGCUCAGGCAUGAUAGAUAUAUAAAUAUAUGACGGUCUAGAUUUUGAUACUAACUGCAGGUUCUUCUGUGAGCAUUAGAAUGGCGGCCGAACCGAAGACAGUGACCGAAGAUGCGAAGAUCGACUUGUUUGAAGACGACGAUGAGUUUGAAGAGUUUGAAAUCAACGAAGGUCCGAUUUAUUGCACUAUCUUUUAUGCCGAUUUCCGAUUUAUUGCUCUUUACUCGUAGGGUUCAACGUCGAUUUAAUUUUAUUCUAUUUUGGUGAAUCUAAGGAGAAAUUUAUUAUUCAAUUACUGUCGAAUUAGCUUGCUCUCAACGCAAAAAUAUAUGAAUCUAUCACCCUAAAUUGAUCUACGCUUUUUGUGAUUCGGAUUGUAGCCUCUGUGGGGAAAUAUGUUUUUAGUUAUUUAAUCUAAAAAUUUUGUUUUUUUUUUUAAUUCUCUAAAAUAGAUAGAAUUUUGUUUACUAGGUAACCUAGUGGUGGGUUCUGAUGGAAAUUGUGAGAUGCUUUAUGGUAUUUGGUUUUCAAAUUCUAUGCACCAGAGCUGUAGCUUUACAAGUACUGAUAUAGCUAGUUGCAGGGACAGGAUUCGGGAUUUCGUAGCACUUUGAUUGCCCGUUGCAUGGUCUAUUCUGCUACUAAUUUCAUGAAUUGUUCCGAGUUCUUCCUUUUGUUAAUUUAACAAUUAAAUAUUCUAGUCUGAAUCGUUCUUGUUUCUAAUGACAAUGAAUUCAACAGAGUGGGAGGAAAAGGAGGAAGGGAAUGAAGUAACGCAGCAGUGGGAAGAUGAUUGGGAUGAUGAUGAUGUCAACGAUGACUUCUCUCUGCAGCUGAGGAGGGAACUGGAGAACAAUGCCGAGAAAAACUGAGCUGAGCUGAGCUGAGUAACUUGUCAUUGUUGCGUGUCAUAUCUUCCUAUUCUGUUGUCACUUGAAGAUGGCGAGUUUCAAAUCUUUUGUAUGCAAAAGAACUUGUGAACUAUUAACAAUAUUCUUAGAAGCACAGUGCAAUUUGUUAAGUGCAGAACCCAUAUGGUUUUGUUAAUUCCAAUCUUUUUCAAGAGUUUAAUAUCUGCCAAAGAGUCAUUUCAACUUUUCGUGCACCGAGUUUUUAUGUGGUCAUUCAUAUACCAGUGAAUUCUUAGUUAACCUUUUUAAUUCUGCCCUGGUGAAGAGACAAAUGGGAAUUGAGCGGCGAAAAUUCAUUUUCACCUGCAUUUUGGUUUGCCUACUGUGAGUCCCAUUCUUGAAAACAAUUAGGAAGAGAAAAUGUAUUACGUUUGUUUUACUGGUGCCUUUCAUCGUCUUUGUUCAUAUAUCGUCUGUUCAGCUAAGCAGGUUGCAUUUGCUUAUGGUAAGAGUCUCUUUGAAGGAAGGCGUGGGAGAGAGCUCACUUGAAUCUGGAGACACAAUCUGGCCAAAAGAUAAUUUUGAUUUUAUCACGUCUACUAAACGACGUAUAUGAUUUUAAAUUUCUUUGAUUCUUUCUGCGAUUGGCAGCAUUUUUUAGAAUUCGAAAUGUCAAGGUAUGGUAUGAGGGCAAGUACUCUCUCCCAUUUAUUCGGCAGAAUCCCUGUGUCCUUUUUUUAAGAAAAUCUUUGGUACAGCAGAGAUACUAUAAUUAAUUAAUGAUUGUAUAACAUCUGUUGUUCAACAUAAUGUUAUUACAUUCGAGAUAAGUUUUUAAAAUAAAUACACACGGUAGAAUGUAAAAUAUUAAUUUAAUUGUUAUGGCAAAAUGUAAAAUAUUAAUUUAAUUGUUGGGGGUUUCGUAUUUUGUUUUAUCGCCUUUUUCCCUUCUUUUUUCGGAGGGUUUGAUUUUCCUAAUUCAUCAAUGGUGGAUAUUAAUAACGUUUUAUCCCCCAACACGAUGAACUGGCGAUAAAGUUCAGCCUGAUUCGUGAGGCCAAACCCGAAAAUUCCAUUGGUUAACGCACAAAAUAAGUCACAAGGCCGGAAAUAUUAACGAGUAACAGGAAAGGAAAGGACGAAUAUGAAUUCUAAUUUAUCUAAUUUCUCUUUUGAGGAAAGGCGAAUCCAGAGUCUCGUUUUGGGUCCCCUCAAGGUGGAACACAAACCUUGGGGCUGGAGUAUAGGUCCCCCCUUUACGAUCAUCUAAUAUAAAAGUUAGAUACAUAGCCCACCCACAUGAAAUUUUAAUUUCAAAAUAUUGGCGACCAGUUGAUCGACUUUGUGUGAAUGACUAAGGAAGUAAAGGCAGACAGCCAAACAAAGUUUGUUUUGCUUGCUACUGAAUUAGUGUCGGAAAAGGUGAACAGAAACAGCAAAUUAACCAAAAUGAAAGUCAUCAAAAUUUCACCAAAAAGGCACAAACAUCAGGGCUUCCAAUCUUUGACAUCUGCAGAACUGCAUGGAUCCACUUCAUUCCCGACGAGAUGAUUGUGCUUUUUGCUCUUAGCCUUUAUGUCAACUCAAUUGCAACAUCACCAGAUACACUACUUCCGUCUUUCAGAAUCACACCAACUUUUGAAGGACUCACUCUAGUUCGACAGAUUGGGCAAAUGGGUGUCUUCAGCAGCCACGAGUCUAUGCAUUGAGCAUGGAAACUGUGCCUGCAGUUUGGCAAUAACCUGCAUUUAUCUCCCAUCCUGAAAUUUUCCAAGCAUACAACGCAGUCCACGGGGCUACUCCCUCUAUCUGCUGCUGCCUUGUACUCAAAGCAAGGAAUUUGCUUCAAGUCAUCACUAGAAAUCAUUUUGAAACCACCUUGAGCGAAACCACUUUGUUCAUAGCCUCUUCUGAAUGCCCUCCCAACAACACAAACAUGAAUCACAACCAAAGCUGCAAUACCCACAAACAGUAAAGUCAGAGAGAUUAAAAUCUCCAUUACCAUCAUCAAUUUCCUCGCUCUUCCUCUCUCUCUUAUCGGUCAUAGCAAAUGUUUGAUCUAUCUUAUUCUUAACCGGAACACGAAAGGCAAAAGCUUCAACACUAGUGAAGCUCACAAGUCAUGCAAUCGUAAUAAAAUCAUUGAAUCUAUCGAAAGAAACCCGAAAUUGAACUGUGAUUACAGCGUGUCGUGAAAGGGCUGAAACUGAAAUGAAACAUUGUAUUGAGAAAAGAACGAUGCUUACAUGUGUCGUAUGAGAGCUGAGAAAAUGUUUGGUAGGCAAUCAGAAAUUCAAGGUGCCACGAUGCUUUUACAAGUGGGCUGGUCUCGACCUUAUGUUGUUAUUUAUUUAGUGACAUACGGCAUCAAGAACUGACCAAACAAUACAAAUUUUGAUGUUUUUAUAGGGAACUUGAAAGUAGCAGGACAAAUUGUUUCAGUACACCCUGCUGGACACUGGUGGUGGCAAGUACCCCGCCCGGUGAUAAUAUAAACAUUUGUAUGGCUUAAGCUUCUGAGCUUUUACUUAUGUAACUCUUGAUGGGAUAGACACUUAUCUCAGAUCAUUUGAAGAAAUGUUGCCAAUCAUUUUGUGUUGUUGCUACCAAACUAUUACAAGAUGUUGCUUUAAGUAACAAAUACCAUCAUUUCAAGGGAUUAAUUAUAUCGAAUUACUAGGUGGCUAAUACUGAGAGCAUGAUAUGGCGGGCGGGACUGUGUUGCAAAAUCAUUGGUCAAAGAUUGCUUAAAGAUUACUUGUUAUUGGAUUGUAUUGCUUCAGAAUCACUUCUUUGGUAAAUUGCGAUUCGUAGGGUAAUUGACAACAGAAAUGGAAUUCUGCCGAUUCUGUUGCUAAAUGAACCGGCCCGGCCUGCUCCGUUCCACAUAUCCUUGGGCCUGACAAUAUUUAAUAAACUACUAUUAAACUGAUAAGAACCCCAUUACAUACACUUACAAGUUAUACCAAGAAACCCAAUGUAAUUUCGUUUACAGCCUUUGUUUAAUUUUUCAUUUUAAUGGGAGUUAUGCUUAUUGUUUAUUUAAUUUCGAUAAUUCUCAAUAAUACGAUGUCUUUGAAAAUAUACAUAUUUGGAAUAAAAAACAGGAGCUCAAUAUAAUAAUGUGAGGAAAGCCCGGCUGGAAUCCGAUUCUCGCUCUUUCGGCAAUUAUACCUGAUGUGACAAAGCGUAAUAUUAUAAAUGUAACGAAUAGAAGGGGUUUCAAUACGUGCGUCUUUUGGACUUGGGCUUGAGACUUGGACUCGGAGUCGGUUUAAUUGGUUACUCGAGAGAAACUCAUAAUUUAAAAUUUUAAAAAAUAAAAAUUAAGAAAAGAGAGAAAUUAGAAACCCUAAAUUCAGGAUUUCAAUCGAAAUCUUCAAUCAUAUUCCCAAUUGCAACUCUAUACUCUCGCACGACGUUCAUCGACCUCCGGAAACUGAUAUCGCCGUCACCAGGAAACCGCACAAAAGAAUUUUGAGGUUAGUUAUCCGUUCAGAAUAUGUGGAUUUCAAUUUAAUUCUUCGCGUUUAGGGAUUAAUAAAUUCUGAAACUGAAAUUAACUGCAAAUUAUUUCACUACAUAUAGCUUCGGAGCUCUGCGCUUUUUGUUUUCAAAAUGGCAGAGUCGGGUUCAGGCGAAGCUCAACAGGCUGAACAAGGUAAAAUUUUCUACUUUGAUGGAAUAUCAAUAGCUGUAUUUUUAUUUCUUUUAACUCGUUUAUUUAAUUUAAUUCAGUUAUCUGGUUGAUUUUUAUUGAUCGAAUUUUUAUUUUUUUUUCAGUCUGCAACUUCUUUAGAAAGCCAACUAAGAAUAAAAACAUCAGAAAGAGAACUAUUAGGGAAGAUGAAGACGAAGAUUCAAUUGAAAGCUCAGUGUUACAGAACCUGAAGAAACCUACAAAGCCUGAUAGUAAGCUUUACUUUUCAACUGGUCCUUCUAAGAGGGACACAUCUGCUGAUUCAAAUGCUGAUUCUGAAAAGCCAAUAUUUCAGUUUGAGUCUUCAAAGGAAAUUCAAGUUCAACACGACAGCAAAGCUACUGCAACCCUAGAAACUGAGACUGAUUUCUUGAGGGACUCUCGUGCUCUUCGUGAGAAAGUACUUAAACGAUCAGAGGAGGCUUUGAAGGGUAAAGCCUCUGGUGAUGAGAAGUUGUAUAAAGGGAUUCAUGGGUACGUUGAUCACAAAGCUGGGUUCCGAAGAGAGCACACGGUUUCAAGUGAGAAAGCUGGCGGGUCUCAUGGGCCUCUUAGGGCUUCAGCUCAUAUAAGGGUGACUGCAAGGUUUGAUUAUCAGCCAGACAUUUGUAAGGAUUACAAAGAGACUGGUUAUUGUGGGUACGGAGAUUCAUGUAAGUUUAUGCAUGAUCGAGGUGAUUACAAGUCUGGGUGGCAGAUGGAGAAAGAGUGGGAGGAAGCAGAAAAGGCGAGGAAGAGAAAUUUGGCUUUGGGAGGGGGUGAUUCAGAUGAAGAGGGUGUUGGCCAGAGUGAUGACGACGAUGAGGAUUCAUUGCCCUUUGCUUGUUUUAUUUGUAGAAAGCCUUUUGUAGAUCCUGUUGUGACCAAAUGCAAACACUACUUCUGCGAGCAUUGUGCUUUAAAGGUAUAAUCCUGUACUCGCUCCAUUGGCUUUGUUUUACUUGAUAUGCAUGCUUGCAUUUGUGAUAUUAACUUUGGUGAAAGGUCAAGGGUUUUCUGUAUGAAGAUUAUACUGCUAUCUUUGUUAUAAAGUUGCUAGGCAUGCACACAGAGUUCAAAUUUUCUUAUGCGAAGUUCCUGUAUUAAAGGAAAUUUCUGUCUCAAUCUCACUACUUGGUUAAACUUCUGUCUUAUGGCCAUCGUGUUAGCUGAUGAUUUGGCUCCAUGAAAAGUGUUUAACAAUUCAUAUGAAUUAUGAUUAAUAAUAAAAGUAAUGGGAUUCUCUGGAAUUUUGUGCUACAUCUUAUGCGCGUUUGGGAAGGUGAUGUAUUUGGGUUGGAUGCAUGGGAGUGGUGGCUUAUGAAUGUUUCACUUAUACAGCCCAAACAAAUGCUUUAAUUUGAUUUCUAAAUUUCAAGAAAGUGGGUUUUUCAAACCCCCCCCCCCCCNNNNNNNNNNNNNNNNNNNNNNNNNNNNNNNNNNNNNNNNNNNNNNNNNNNNNNNNNNNNNNNNNNNNNNNNNNNNNCAUCCGCCUUGGCCGUACAGCAGUUUCCUUCUAAAGGCAAGUCUAGACAUGAAUUAUUGAUUUAAAAUGCCUUUUACCUGUUCUGCCUAUGAAUGAAUGCAUGAACUACCUAUGAAUGUUUGCUGAAUGCAUUGACCAUUUCUGAUGUAGGAAGCAUAUGUGGUAGAAUAAAUUAAGAAUUCUAGAUUUUGAGUUAAUUUAGAUUUAGUAUUUCAUUAGGAUUUGUGUUGUUGUAGUAUGUUUAUUUUAGUUAUAUUUGUAAUUCUAGUUAGUUAAGAUUUAAGAUUAUUUUUCUUAUUUGGAUAGGACUAGGAUUUAAUAGCUACUAAUAUAAAUAGGCUUGUUAGCUUAGUUUAUUUUCAUACCUUUCAUUAAGAAAAUCUUCAAUUAUUCACCCUUUGGGUUAUCUCUAUCGUGAAUUCGGCAUUCUCUCUUUGAAAGCUAUCUUAACUCAUUUGUCGAGAGGUAUACUAGAACGACUUCUAGCAUCGCUUUCACGUUGGGUCAAUUUAUGAGUAGAGUACAAUUGAUGUGACAUUCAUCUAUAGGAUAAUAUAAUACUAAUUUUAUAAGUUACGCAGUUCAUCAUCUAAUAGAUGAGUGACGAAUAGCAUUUAGACUGAAGUUGAGGUUCAAAUGUUAGGAACCAUAGCAUUACUGUUUCUAGUAUGCUUGCACAUGCUCUUGCCAUUUUAAACAUAAUCGAAAUUAACAUAUCUUUUUUAACUCCUUUUUUCAGCAUCACUCAAAGAACAAGAAGUGCUUUGUUUGCAACGAACCUACACUUGGCAUCUUUAAUACAGCUCUUGAGAUACGCAAAAGGAUGGCUGAAGAGGGUAAAAAAUAAGUUAUAUCUUUUAGGCCCGUAGUGUCCUUUAUAAGGGUUUCUUUCUGUGAUUUUAUUUCAGAUUUAACCACAGAUAAAGGAUUGUGAUCAGUGAUCACUGAGGUAGAGAAGUUUUUUUCAAGUGUAUCCCCUGAUGAAUGUGAAUUACUUUUGACGGAGUUGUUGGAAACGAAUCAAAGUGAGUAGCAGAUGCAGAUCGGUUAUUUUAGUAUACUGUGCUCCAUUACCUAUGUGCUUCCAUUCUUCAGCGUUUGCGAAAAUAUUUACUUAAAAAGAGUAACAGCUGAAAAAUGUUAUCAGGAUUUCUCUACUUCGACAAUAAUGCUUGCUUCCUUGUUUAACAUUCAAAUAAACAGUAAAUAUUCAUUUUUUAUCAAAUGAUCCUAACCUAAUAAGAUUAUUUUAAGUAUUAAGUCAAUUGAAAAUGCUCAAUGAUUUGCUUUUACAGGGUUUGGUCAUGUAAUUUUUAAGCAAUUUUAUUUUAUUUAUUACUGGAGUUUAAAUCCCAAAUACUAAAGAGAUUUAAUCGUGUAAUUUUUAAACAGAUUUAUUUUACUUAUUACUGAAGUUGUAAAUCCAGCUACAGAGGUUCAAAUCCUGAUAAAAGGAAGGGAAAAAAAUAAUAAUAAUGGGGAUAGAUCUCUCUGAUGUAUUGUUAACUCGAAGUUGGACAAUCUCAUUCGAAGCUGAAGUGGGUUUUGUUUCACUGUUAGUAUUCCUAAAAAUGGUAGGCUAAUAAGUAUCAAUGACGGACAAUAUCGCAAAUUAGUUACCAACAAAUCGAAAAAUCAGGGAUUAAUUAAAAAUUAUAAUUAUCCAAACCCCAAAAAAAUAAAAAAAUGUAUCAGCUUACUAGUGUACAUGAUUUCAGUGGAUCACAUUAACACAUGCAUGCACGGAGAAACAGAGGAAAUCGCUAAAUGCGUACGUCCAAGUUUAAUUUGAUGGCAAGUUCAGCAUUUCUUCUUAUUUGAUCUCUCACAGUCUGAUGGUCAAAUACUUAUAGCCAAGUUUUUACAUAAUUUCUCGGGUUCUUAAAUUCUCCAUUCCUCAAUAACGUAACACUAAACUUACUUCAUUCCCUUUAGAACAACACAUCUUUGCUUUUCUUCUCUUUCUUCUUUCCACUUUCUUCAUUAAUAAGUAAUUCAAGAUGGUUGAAACCGGCUUGAUUAGAACCGUUGUUGGUAUUAUCGGUUAGUUCUUCAAACCCUAGCUAGGUACUAAUACUUAAUACGCGUGUGUGUGUGCGUAUUAAUUUACAACACUUUUACAAUCUCAAUAAUCAAGAAUUCAAACAACCUACUCAUAUCUCUCAUUUGUGUACACGAAGCUUAGAUUGGAAGAAAGCAUUCUCUUUUUUUCCUGCUACUCUUACUGAAAUCUUUCAGUUGCGUGUGUGUGUGUGUGUGUGCGAAGCUCAGAUCAGAAGAGAAAUUUGAGAAGCAUACUCUCGCUUAUCGUCCUCUGCUCAUUUCUAAUUUUCCAUUUUGUGUUUCGUCGCAGGAAAUGUCAUUUCUCUUGGCUUGUUUCUCUCCCCUAUGUAAAAUUUCUUUAUCUCUAAUAGAAUUUCCUUCUUUAUCUCUAAUAGAAUUUCCUUACUUUAAAAAAAAAAAAGGGAAAAAAAAGAAAGAAAGAAAGUUUGAUCUUGUUUUUCUGAAAUAAUUAAUAAGUGCAUGCAUGCAUGCAUGCAGCCCAACAAUGGCGGCAAUAGUGAGACAAAAGUCAGUAGAAAAUUUCAAGGCAGAUCCGUACAUAGCAACCGUUCUAAAUUGCUUCGUGUGGACGUUUUACGGUCUCCCGUUCGUUCAUCCUGAUAGCACCUUGGUCGUCACCAUCAACGGCGCCGGCGCCGCAAUUGAGCUCUUCUACGUUCUCAUCUUCGUAAUCUUUUCCUCCUGGGGAAAACGCGUACGUGUUCUUAAUUUCUUUUUCCUUUUCAAACUAAAUUUAAAACCAAACCAUCAAAAUUUUCCGUUAUUUUGGAGCUAGUAAACUAACUCUAAUUUCGUCUUAAUAAUUAAUUUUCAGCGAAAGAUCUUUGUUGCUCUAGUAGUUGAAGUGGUGUUUAUGGCCAUCUUGAUAUUUGUUACCUUAUAUUUUUUGCAUACCACCGAUGAUAGGACUACGGUUGUUGGGAUAAUCGCCGUUGUCUUCAACAUAGUCAUGUAUGCUGCACCUUUAACAGUCAUGGUACGUACGCCAAGCUCUUUAUAAUCAAAUCAAUCACAUAAAUUUAUUUAAUAACAUUCGUUCACUCGCCAUGUUGCUUAAUGAAAUCUACUUAAUUUGCUUUAGAAAAUGGUGAUCAGCACAAAGAGCGUCAAGUACAUGCCAUUGGCUUUAGCAAUUGGUAAUGCGGCGAAUGGUGCCGUUUGGGUCGUUUAUGCAUGUCUUCGAUUUGACCCUUACGUCCUGGUAGGUAACUUUUAAUUUGAUCAAGAUACCAAGGCAAAAUAACUUAACUAAUUAGUUAUGUACAUAUCAAAUAUAUACACACAUUCUUCAUGUUGCAAUUAAUUCUCUGAACGUUAUGUUAAAUUAAUUCUGUAGAUUCCGAAUGGCCUGGGGACGCUAUCGGGUAUACUGCAGCUCACACUAUAUGCAAUCUUUUACAAGACUACAAACUGGGACGGCGAUGAUGAUGAGAAUCGUAAUGAUAAUAAUGGUAAUGGUAAUGGUAAUGGUAGUAACAAUAAUAGACGAGGAAGAGGAGAGGUUCAACUCGUAGAUGUAGCUUGAUGAUGGAGCAGCUAGCGGACUUUUAUUUCUCAUUGCUCCCUCAAGUUUAAUUAGUUUCACAAAUUCUUUUUUACAUUUGGACUCAGCGCAUGUCUCAGUUUUAUUAAAUAGGGAACCCACAAAAGAGCAGAUAGCUAGAGUUGCAUGUAUAGCUUGAAACUUGAACGAGAAAAGAAAAAGAAAAAGAAAAGAGAGAGGGAGCAUAUGCUAACUUAGGGUUGUUAAGGAAAUUAAUGCCCCUCGAAACGAAACAAUAAUAUUCAAAUUCAAUCUCCAAAUGCAAUGUUAAAUGAUCAAGUUUUAGUUGGUCUACUUCCUCAAUUUUCCCCUCUUUUAUUUUUUCUGCUGGUUUUGGAUAAAUGAACAUGCGUGUUACUAUUUUUUGAUUAUUUAUGAGUCGUAAGGAAUGCCAACGUCCACAUUAGAAAGUGAUAACUGACACUAAAAAAUAAAAUAUAUUUGUCAAUUGCCACCAAGAGAAAGGCGAUAGCAGCACAAUAUCAGCAAAAUCAUCAAAUUAAUUAUUAAUUGGUAUAUCAUACGAGAGUGAUGUUUCAUCUUACAGCAGUGAGGGGCAAGACCAAUCCACCACUAGACUGGCAAGUCAAAUGAAUACACACCCCUGCAACCCCAGAAAAAUUUUAAAAAUAGAGUCACAUAAGAAAAGCUUUACAUUCAUUCAACUUUCAACCUAAUGAUAUGUAGUGUAGCACAGCCAUGACCUCCAAUCUCUUUUUCUUUCGGCUUUGUAUCUGUAAAUUCUUUUUAGCCAAAAAUAUACUUGGAUCUCUCGGAUCUUAUAACAUGAACACUUUUUAAAUGUUCAUCUGUCUGCUUAGUGGGAUGAUGAUUCAAGGCCCUCGAUGCUUUCGGAAACAAAGACAACCUUGAGGCUGAUCACCGGGGAUCAUACCCCCACCUUUUGAUGUGUCAAUGGCCUCCAACAUAGAAACAACUUCAUCCAUCUCAGGCCGUUUAUCAGGGUUAGCAUCCCAGCAUCUCUUCAUUACGUUUGCCAGAGAACUUGGGCAGCAUCUUGGUAUUUCCGGUCUCAGAUUCUGUUUCAAAAUGAAUGUAGACAGAAAUAAGAAAUGGAUUGCAUUUUUUUCUCACUUUUUUAAGAAUCUGUUGAAAAUGGUCGAUUUAGAGAAAGGUAAUACUUGGGGUCAAAGCAGAUACUGUACCUGGCGAACCACGGCUGAUGUGACUUCUGAGAAACUAAGGUCAGGAUAUGGCAUAUCGCAGCAAUAUAUCUCCCAUAAGCAGAUGCCAAAACUGUACACAUCACAUUUCCUAUUAUAUGGGUUGCCAUUGAGAACCUGAAACCAAGCCACUUGAUAAGUACGGAUCAUUCACUCAACUCAGAUUAAUACUGUCUCAUUAGCUAAAACAUUACAAGUUAACAUCUCUAUAUAUAUAAAAUAAAAAAUAAAAAAUAAAAAAACUCAUAAUAACAUGGACAUACCAAAGUCAACACUUGCAAUCAUCACAUCAAAUGAAACAGAAAUUAUUGGGAGAUGGUGCAAACAUGAUUUUAUAGGAAUUGACCAUAUUUAUAUGACUGAUCUCCCAGACCUAUAUCCCACUAUGUUUUCCAUGAAACAUAAAAAGAAAAGCAGACAGCCAUAAAUGAUCUUUUCCAGUCAAAAAACUGACCACAAAAUCACACUACAUAUAUACAAGUAGAAAAGAAACAAAAAUAAGGUCAAUACCUCAGGAGCCAUGUAACCAAGUGUCCCCGUCUCUCCAGUCAUGUCAUUAGGAUUUGAGGCUUCAACACGAGCAACUCCAAAAUCAGCAAUUUUUACGGUGCGAUUCUUGUCCAAUAGCAUGUUCUCUGUUUUCACAUCUCUGUGGACAAUCUUCUGUGAAUGAAGGUAACUCAACCUACAAAAUUUAAUGGUUUCCCUUCUUAAGUGCUGAGCUGAACAAGAUUUCAAGUCACAGGCCAUCCUAUAUAGCCAUAGGGUAACAUAUAGUUAGACAAAUAACGAUUACAAAUGGGGUAGAUGUAGGUACCCUCUGGCAAGAUCAAGUGCUAGCUGAACAACCACUUUGAAAGCUAGUUUCCUUCUCCUGUUCUUUAUGAGGUAAGUUUUCAAAGCACCUCCUGGAAGAUAUUCCACAACAACACAGCAGAUAUUACUUGGCAUGGCAACUUGACCAUUUUCAGUUUGUAUAUGUAGCUCUGACGAACCCAUGGUCGCCCCAAUGAACUGGAACCAUAGAACCAGAAUCAGCCACUAGUAAAGUACUGAUAAGCUGACUUUUGCAUCCAAGAUAGCAACACUAGCAGGCAUAAAAUAAUCUCUGGAAAAUAUGUCACAAUAAAAAUCACAGAGCCUUAUGAUACAUCCAGAAAGCUUUCUAGAUAUUUCUAGACCUCCGAAUAAGCAGUGUGAUGCGAAGCAAAAUGAAUGUACUACCCAUCCAAAAGCAGGGUUGACCCACCCGAAAAAAAAAGGAAAAAAAUUAUAAUACCACCUUCUUGUUAACAACUUUGCCCUAGUUGAUCACCAAAGUCAAGAAACUCGCAGAGAAAAAAUACUUCUUAAAAUGUUACUGUAUCAAUCCUAGUCCAUAGAAGCCAAAAUACUUCUUAAUUAUGAAGAGAAAGUGCAAGUGAUCAUAAGAGGAGGAAUUUGAGAAAUUGAGUUACUAAAUGAAGCAAAUGUUAUGAAUGGAAGCCUGUAAUAUAGAUUUCAAGCUAAAUCAUUAAAUGCCUAGUCAAAAGCUCCUGCUACUAGUAAUCUAAAAUUGAAACAACAAGUAAUAAUAAAACCCUAGAAGAUUGCCCUAAAGAUCGUCUCAACGCUCACAGAUUAAAAUAUUAGUGGCUCCAGGAUUAUUUACAAACCUACACUGCAUCUCUUUUCCCAAACAAUGGGCCCAAUAAAAGAGAAAUGAAAAUGAGCAGAAAAUGCACGUAAUGCCACAACAACCGCCCACUACUUGAGUCAGGUAGAGGACACAACAAACUGCUGAACUGUCUCCAAUAUAUACAGAGCAGCAGGUAAUUAACUAAGUUUAAAGUAGCAAAUUCUUAAGGUUGUUUAUAUACGUAUUUAUUUCAAUUUUAACUUUCUACACCCUCUUCUGAGAGAAAAGCUAGACAUGCAAGUCAUCCUAGCACUUCUGUAGCUAUAGAUAAGCUGUAAAUACAAUAACCAAAACAAGAAUGCAGCUUGUUAAAAGUAGAAACUGAAACUUACCUUUGUAACAUUAGGAUGAUCAAGUUUAUGCCACACAGCAACCUCUUGUGUAAACGCUGACCUUAAUGCUGCAAUCUCAGCUUCUGUCCUGUGACCUUCUUCUCCCCAGUCUAGCAACUUGACUGAGAAUUAAGUGGUCAAGAAAGUAAUGUGAGUGAAAUUACAAUCAGUAAUUCAAAAAGUAAAUAUUAGUUAAUUAAAAAUUGAGAAUAUCUAAACCUAGUUGGAUUAAGACAAUGACCGUCAGAAGAAUUGUCAUUAUUAUAUUGACAUUUGAUAAAUUGGGAUCUUAAUUUCAAGCUACCAGUCCAGCUUGCCUGUAUUUUUUCUACUAUUUAAUUGAUAUGAUAUUAAGUAACAGCUGGGGUCACAUGAAAGUUGAAGAAUACAGCAACAUCAUCCAAAUUAAGGCUGUAACCAGCAAAUUUCAACCCAAACUCGUGCAUGAGUCACGGAUUUCAUAAGACUACAUUUACCAUGGCCAGUCACAUAAACUCCAUAACUGUCAAACAGUAAUAAAAUUCCAGAAUUUAGCUUCAUGAAUCACACUGUACAUAACAAAACAAACCAAAAUGCAGCAAACACGUUGAACAACAAAAGUGCACGAAACCAAAUUAAUCGGGGGGGGGGGGGUGGAUUUUCAACCUUGUUUGCAGUCAAAAUGCAAUUUUUUUUUUCUAAAGGGAAGAAUAAUAAUUCUGCAAAAAUAGUGGCAACCACUUUCACCGGCGCAAACAAGCUGGGUAUUGUUUCAAAUCGCUCCUCAAAUCAGAAUUUAGAUGGACAAGGUGGAAAAAAAAAACCGCAAAUGGGUAUCCAAAUCCAAGGAGAAAAAAAAUCCAGGAACCAUAACUACAACUAAUAGUAAGUAAUUAAAAAAAAAAAAGGGGGGGACUUGGAGUUCAAAUCACAAAACUAUUACAAUUAAAAGAAAAAAGAAAAAAGAAAUUUAAGAAGUGAAACGACAGGCGGAUGACUAACCGGCGACAUCAUGGCCAUCGUAGAGGCCUCGAUGGACGGUGCCGAAGGUGCCACGUGCAAUGACACUUUUGAUGACGAGCUUAGAAGGUUCGAUCUCCCAGUCCUGCCUCUGCUUCUUGAGAAAAUUAGAAGCUUUGCCGAUAGGAGUAGCAGUGGCAUUAGCAGAAGCGGCGGCGGCGGUGGUGACCAAAAUAUUAUCAUCAGAAUUUCUCUGUUUCUUGGAUUUUUCCAUAGUCAAUGCUCUGUUCAGAUGCCUCUCCAGUUGCUCAUCUAAGCUUUUCAGAUCAAUCUGAUCUGCUCUCACGAACCCAUCACUGCUUUCUUUCAUUCUUUCUUUCAAGAGUGCUUCUGUUCAAAUCACUCCCUCCUCCUCUUUCUUCUUCUUGUUGAUGAUGUUCAGUUGUUAUAGCUUGUUGCUGUUGUUGGAGUUAUAUAUGUUUUAAUUUUUUAUUUUUCAACGAGAAUUUGCUUCUCAAUUUUUCUCAAUAGGAAGGAAGCGAAGAAGAGUAUGCAAACAUUUUUUUUAUUAUUAUUAUUACUAUUUUUCUUUUCUAUUGAAGCAUGUGGGCACAUGGCAUUGCCUGAACACAGCGUGUGUUUGUGACCCACUUUGCUCUUCAUUAUUGUUAUUGUUUUGUUAUUUCCUUUUUUCUUCGAUUUUGAUUGGCCAUCAAUUUUUUUUUUUUUUUUUUUUGGUUAUUUAUCUGCUCCCUUGGAGUUUCUGAAAUUUCACUUAACUCCCUUUGGGUUAAUUUUUUAAUUGUUCCAACAUGUUGCAAAUGUAAAUUUAAUGUGAUGAAAAGGAUAAGAUUUUUUAGAUAAUCUUAUACGAUAAAUAGUUAAAAUCUUAUAAGAUCUAUCUUUUAUUUAUCAUUGAUAUGUUGUUAAAAAUAAAAUAAAAAAGUGGUGUGAUGUUAUGUUUUGAGUGAAGAAAUAGUAAUAUUAUCUUGGUAAUUGAUUAAUGCUAUGUAUUAAAAAUCAAUUGAUUCAUAUCAUAAAAGAUUUACUACACCACUUAUUAAAGUUAAUUAGAUAUGAUAUGUGUGACAUAACAUAACUAAUGAAGCACUUGCAUAAUCUUUUUACUAGUAGUGACAAGGUAUUCCACUUUUAGUCACAUCAGAUAAAUUGGAGAUACAUACACAAUGCCUUUCGUUUUAGAAGAGGUAAAAAAAAAGUAAAAGUUUACAUAUUAAUAUGCAAACUAUGGAGUCCUCUUAAGUGGUUUGAUUGGGUUUACUUCCCAGUUCGAGUCGCAGGAAAGUUGUCUUUGUUGGAAGAACUUAUGCCUCCCGGUUCGAGCGGGGACUUCUAAUCUAAGUUGUGGUACGGACUUAAAGGUGCCUCCCACAGUUGGGGCCCUCCCCAGGAUACCUUGUGAUUAAUAUAAAAAAAAAAAAAAACUAUGGCCUAUACGCGCACUGACUGACCCUCGCACAACAGAAGUUAGAAAAUUAAAACAUGUAGUUAGCUUAAUUUCUUCAAAUUGCUCCGAUUUAAGACCAAAUUAGAGUUCCCAACAAGGGAAAUAUGAAGGGACAAAUCGGAUGUGUUUGCAAAAAAAUGAAAAGACAGUAACCCCCACCCCCUGUUAUAUUGGAUGCGAUUGAUGACUUGACGGUCAAUCUAACCUUUUUUAAAUAACUUUUUUUAAAGCCCGAACUGCCUUUCAGAUCUAUCUGCCAUCUAUAAUUCUAUAUAGAGUAUAUUCUAAUUCUAUGGUUCUGCAUUUGGGAAUUGAGCAAGCUGAGUUGUGUGACACGAGCGUAUAUAAUAAUAUACGAUUAAGAUUUAAUUAAUUUUAUAUUAUUAUUUAACAAUUAUUAAUCGCAUGUUUUAAAAAAAUUAAUAAAAAAUUCAGUUAAGCACUAAAUCUGAAUCUAUAUUCUUAUUCUAAUUCUAAUUUUAUCUUUGCUUGUCUUUAGAAAGCAAAAUACAUAUAAAACUUUAUUUUAAUAUUGUUGGACCAAAAUGAAACAAAUCAAAAAGGUUGAGGAACGACAGGAAGCUUGGCGUUUUGGCUCCGCAAAUAACAAAGCAAAACGACACAGUAAUCUGCGUUUCAUGCUACCGUUAUGUAUCUUCGCAAAACGACCUAUGGUUCUAUCGUUUUGGUCAUAAGAAUCACGAGCAACGCACGUGACAUUUUAAAUGACGUGUGAAGGCUGUUAAAAGCCGUUAGAGUCAUCUGUUGCUCACGUGCUUAGCUGGGAAUGCUUCUGGGUUGUUAUAAACUCAGCAGCUGGAGCUGAUUCUAGUGUAACAAACAGAGGGGGUUUCAGAGGAUUCUGGAGAGAGAGAGCUUGUGAAAACAGAGGUCUCUUGUUCCUUGAUUAGGGCUCUGUAAAUCUUACUGUGUUAAAUCAAUAAAGCUGGUUAAUUUGUUCCUUCGUUGACGUAGGUCGAUGUUGAAUUGAUUGAACCACGUUAUUUGCUGUGUCUGGGUUCAUUCUUGGUUUCUUUUAGUUUUCUUUGAUUGUUUCCUGUUAAUUCGCGGUGCUGUUGAGUUGUUUCUGAUCAUAUUUUUGGAUCAUCUUUAAUUUAUCUUGUAAUUGUGAUAUGGUGAUCUUGGGAGAGGUUGGUCAAGUUGAUUGUAUAACUUGCCAAUCUCGACAAAUACCUACUCUAAAGUCUAAACCCACCACCUAAAAAGGGAAAAAGAUGACGUAUCAAUAUCAAAAUUUAUCCAUUAAAAAAUUCAAAAAUUUGCAAAAAUUACAACUCUCAAUAGACUUUCUACCUAUAGAGUAUAGGCCAUAGUUAUUUAUUAAAUCAUGGUUAAUAUGAGAUGCGUGUAAGAGGAAACAACAAAUAGCUGGCUUGCCUUUGGCUCCACAAAAAUUGUCGAAAUUACAGCAAAACUGGUGCUUCCGAUUAAAAAUCCAGACAAGGCAAACUAACGUCGCGGGUACGAACGGAUUAGAGGACGUUUGAAUUGAUGAAUCAAUUCCGUGAGGCAAAUUAAAUCAAAAGAGAGAAUUAUUCACCGAAAAAAUCAGCAAAUCAAAAGAUUUUUGUUGUUAGUGCGUUUCUUCACCGGCCACGCUUUGGCUCGAACGAAUGCCGUAUCAGCGCGAUCUCUUAAAGUUGGCCCAAAAGAACCAAGCAGUCCAAUUUUGUCCGACAUUUUUAGCUUUGCCUUUUUUUUUUCUUUUUUUCUUUUUUUAAUAACCAUCAAUCUAAUUUCAUUUUAACUAAUGAUUAUCUUAUACGUAUGGUGUUAGUGUCAUCAUCGUUCGGCUUUUUAAUCAAGUAGUUUUGUGGUUGUAGAUGAAUUAAUGGUUCAACGUAUUAGAAUUCAGAGAGAAUAACGAUUUCAUCGCUCGCUAUUGCUAUUAUUAUUCAUUUAUUUAUUCAUGUUUUAGGUAUCACUUGGGUUUCUUGUAAAAAUUUAAUAUCUCAUUUUAUAUUAUAUUUACCUUCUAAUAGGAUUUUUUUUUUUCAUCAAUAUUUUAAAUGCCAAUAAUAAAAUCGAGCAUUAAAAAGCUUCUGGGAAGAAGGAAAUUGUCAAUUCUCUCUAAACUAUAAGGCAUCAUUGACCAAUACACUAUCGGGGCAUCAGCUAUCUAAAUUAUGAUUAAGUUUGACUAAGAAAAGGCACAGAUGUUUUUUGGUCAUUGGAUAAGCAACAAAGACUUUGUAAACGGUCGUUUUCAAUUGAAAAUAGGACACUCUUAAAAAAGUGCAUAUUCGGUCCGGGGAUCAUCCAUGGGCAACCAAGAUCGCCAUGCCCUAUUAUCUCCGAUUAAAGCACGGAAGUCAUUGUUGGUGCAAGAAAUUACAUUACCCCACGUCUCUACUCUAAUUUAUGUUUUUUAAGUGCUGGUCAACUUUUGUUUCAUAAGCUUUUAAAUGAAUGUUCGUUUAUUAUUUUGUUUCUCGUCAAAAUUGAUACUUAUUGUUCGUUGUGUUGUUGAAAUAAUCAAUUGCAAAGAUAAUUGAUUAAAUAUUUAGUAAAAUUUAUUUUUUAAAAUAAUCAUAUUUGUUUAGUAAAUGUUAUUAGAAAAUCACUGUAACAUAAUGUUGAAUAAAAUUUAUUUAAAGGUUUAUAAAUAUGUAUGUAAAAUAUUUUUUUUACUGUAUAUAUAUAAUAAUUGAUAAGUAAAAUAAAUAUUUAUGAUAUUAAUUUUAUUUUUUAUUUAUUAUCUUAAUAUAAUUGGUAAUAAUAAUAAUAAUAAUAAUAAUAAUAAGAAUAAUAAUGAUCUCUUAAAGGUUAAUGAUUUUAUUUCCUAAUUAAUUAGGAUAAUUUUGAAUCUUUAUAAUAUAUAUAUAUAUAUAUGAGGAUAUGUACAAAAUUCUAUUAAUUAUAAAAGUGAUUUUCAAAUCAGAUUUUGAGAAGUUAGUCUUUUUUUUUUUCCUAUUUUUUAAAAUAUACUGUAAGAUUGGGUGAUUUUGUUAAAAGUGAAUUUUAAAAAAAUUCACCAAACACCAAAAAUUAGAUUUUAACGCUUAAUCAUCUGAAUUAAGGGGUAUCAAUGAAUAAAGUCAAAUUAAGUGUUAGGAUAUUUGCCUAUGAUAGAUUUUAGGGGGAAAAAAAAUAAAGAGAGAGUCAAUAUUUUUAUUUAGUUAUGAUGAUCAGUUGAUCUUGUAUGAGAAUGAUGCCACCAAUGGCUCUGAUUACGCUUGGAAGGCUCCAUCCUACGUCCUCAAAAUGAUCAACAUUGAAUUCUAAUUAUCAGACCCUACUCUAAAAAUAUCGUAGUUGGACCGGCAAGUUGAUUAGCAAAAGAGCAUGUGAUAGUGAAUUGAAGCCUACGUUUUUGUCUUCAUUUGCGGCCCUUUAAAGGCACAACUGGAAGAGUAUGAAUCUUAACCUUUUUAUUUUUUUUAUUUGAUUUAAGUUUUUGACGGUCCUUCCAUUCUACAUCGACCAGACAGAAUAUUAAUGAGCCACGGUCCAAAACAAUAAUAGGACCAGUUAAUGAGGCUGGCUUAGUAUCUUUUAAACAAGAGCUAGCCCAAGUAUUAGUCAAGCUAGGCUUCAGCACUUAGCACUCCGAAACUCAAUCAAGUGCACAACCCUAAAACAAAGGGUGGAGCUUCUAACACCAACAACAUCCCUUCAAAUCCUUUUGAACCCCCUUUUUUUUUAAAAAAAAAAUUAAUUAUCCUUAUUUUAAUGCCAAAAAUACCCUUUUCCUAUUUAAAUCCCAUUUACUCGUUUUUCUUUUUUCGGUUUAAUUCCAAUUUCACGAUCAUGAUGGAAAAUGUUGAACUUAGGAAAAUAUAAGGUGUUAAACUCAAUAAACAUAUGCAAAAUAUAAUAAAUCGAGCAAUUUUUAGAAUACUUUUUUUUUUUUUUUACUUUUCUCACCCAUAAACAAAUUGAAGUCAUACUUUUGGAUAGAUGAGACUUGAGAGUCAGAAGGGGGGGGUAGAUGAGACUUGAGUCAGAGGGGGGGCGGCGAAGGACUUGUUGAUUUUUAGAUUUUGUAGAGAGAGAAGCAUUCGAAGAGUUUGUGGGGAAAAUAAAAAGUGUUUUGAGAGCGAGAGAAACUCUGUAGAUGAGUUUAAUGUAAUUACAGCACAAAAGGGGUGUUAUAACGAAAACAAUGGGGUGUUCAUAAGGCCUACGACACAGUUAGAUGGGACUUUGUAGGGGUAAAUCCUGAAGUUAGUUAGUUAUCGAUCGAUCAUUAGUAUAAUAGAACAAAUAGAUUACCCCUCAAGCCCAUUCAAACUCGGCCUAAAUCUAAGGAAUAAAAGGACUUUCAUUCUCAAGUUGAUUUGGUGGCACUGGGCCAGGCUGGUUUCGUUUGUAUUUUUUUUUUUUUCCUUUCACUAAUAUAAAUUGGCACUGGGCCAGGCUGGUUUCGUUUGUAUUUUUUUUUUUUUCCUUUCACUAAUAUAAAUUACCAAUUUAAAAAUAUAUGCGUAAAAUUUCACUAAAGUGGGUUGGUGGUGUUAGUUUCGUGCGUCCAAAUUAUGAUGGUUGAUUUUAUUCUAAAUACGUAUUUAGAAGUAAAACUAACACAUUAUGAGUUCAAAAUAUUUAAAUCGUGUCAUUAUUAGAAAUCUAAUCUAUGAGGUUUUAACAAACUUUUAAUUGAAAAUACAAUGGAUUAUAUUGUAAUUCGAAAUAUAAAAAAAUGUAUAAUAAUGACGCAAUUAUACAUCAGUUGCACCGUGCAGUUUUAACAAAUGCAGAUGCAUGGUGCAAUCACGUCAUAAGUUUAGAUGUUUGGAUCAGUUGUCAGUAGUUGAGAUAACCCAUUAUGGAUGUAAUCGUGCUUCAUAAUUCAAUCUCCCACACAUAAUUUAAUCACCCAACUAAGGGUGAGGGUAUGUUUGGGAAUGCAUUUGCUUCUUAAGGAAUCAACUUUUACCUUGAUUUUUAAAAAAAUUAGCUUUAUAAAUAAUUUAGGAGGGUGUAAGUAAAUGAAGAUUAUUUGACAAUCACUUUUCAAAUGAUCUACUAUGGAUGUUUGGCAAGUAAAAGUCAAAAUGACAAAAUGAUAGCCAUGCAAAGCAAACUUCCUAAUGUAAUUAUGCAAUGCCAUAAUUGCAAUGACUAUCUUCUCCUGCCUUUUGAAUGGAUAUCUUAGCAUAGUUUUUAGAAUUCUCCUUCUUUAUUUCUCCAAUUUGAUGAAAGUUUUGAGUGAAAAAUGUGCAUAGUUUUAAACACUUCUCAUUAAUUAAUUGGUUGCCUAUCUCGUCGAAAAUUUAUAAGAUGAUAUCUUCCGCUCUUUCAUGCUUUCAGGUACCCUUUAACUUGAGAAUAUCCUGCAUAUACUAAAUAGUAUUUUUCCUAUUACAUUAAAGAAUAACAAUUGCAAAAUAUUACUUUAUUGAAAAAUAGUAAUAAAGAAUAAAAUUUUACUGAAAAAUAUUACUUUCGGGAGGUUGUGAAAAAUUCAACCUAGAGUUGAAAAUGGUUGUCAUGAAUAUUCUCGAAUCAUGAGAAGAACCUUCCCAUCCAGCAAUUGCAAAUAUAAAUUGCGUGUCGAAUUCGCAUGCAGCCAUACUGUUCUGAGUUGGUACUUAUUUUCUGUCAAUGCGUGGUAUUUGACCCCCUGCUGCAAGACCUACAGAAAUAGUAAUAAGUGUAGAAAUAAUUACCUUAAACCCGCCAACCACGGGUUCCACUAUUUGGCUGGCAGCCGUGCGAGCAUCCGAUUUGAAAUGUAGCCUCGCGUUUUAAUUAAGGAAGCUUUUUUUUUUUAAAAAAAAAAAAGGCCCUCGCAAUGCCUUCGGGACUUCAGUGAAGUAUUGGGACCCUAUUUCCUUUAAAAAGGCAAUAUAAUUAAAAUUAAAGUUAUGUUGAACGUGUGCAAGUGUGACUGCUGCCGGCCACAAAUCUGACAUCGAUUCGGCGGUCAAGACUGAAGAUUGUUCAAUUCCCGCUUCCCAAUUCCCAUGCACAAUGACAGAGUUCCAUUAGCUGGAAAUAGGCAAACUUAAGGACAGCCGAUGGCUUCAGGCAGCUCAAAGAUUUAUCCAGCUUUCAAAAUAAAAUUGGAGGGACUUACGGAAAAUGGACUCACACAAGUAGUUACAAAUUAAGUGGAAGUAAAUUUUUUUUAUGUAAUUAAAAUAAGAUGUGUAUCACAAAUAAAUAAAUAAACUAAUACAAUCUAACACAAUAAAUCAAUCAAGUAGAUUUUACGUGAAAACAAAAAAAAAACCACAGAAUCAUAAUUCGAUAUAAUCUUAAACUAUAUAAUAAUGAGAUUACAACACAAAUUCUUCUCUAAAUAAUAACAGAGACUAAUAACAUUAAAAAUCUUAAUAUUUUUAGUUUACAGUAACAAACUAACAUCUAUUUCUCUAAUAAAUAUGUAUCUCAAAUAAUAGCUAACGAGAUCAUAAAAUAAAAAUUAAGACCAGUAAAAUUAUAAAGGGCAAUGCUAAAAACUUACCGUUCAAAUUUAAGAAAAAAUAGAAUUAAAAUCAUCUUCCCAUCGUCUAAACAAAUAAUGAAAUCCUAACCCCCAAAUUUAAUACCACGCCAUUCUUCUCUCUCGUCUUUUCUUCACUCGUCUUCUGCUAUUUCAUCCUUAGGUCAGCAGCUUGCUUCUAUUCUUUAUACAGCCACGUGAUUUUCAAAGCAAAAGUUUAUGAUAAAUUUUAUCCAAGUCCAAAACUUAAUAUUAAUUACAGAUUAAGUAAGUUUUUUUUUACCUUAAACUUUUAGGCCCCCAAAUGAGAUGGACCUAACACAUACAUAAAGAAAAUCACAAAACAGUAUUUUAUAAAUGAUAGACGUGAAAUCCUUCUUCAAAUUUGUUUUUCAUGACAUGACUUAAAAUUUAAUCAAGUUGAAGAAUAGUUAGCUAGUCAAACAUGAUAAAAAUAACCAUUCAUAAAACACGUAAUAAACCAAAAAAAAAAAAAAGAAUCUUGAAUCCAUCAAAGCAAUUCAGACAUUGAAAAAAACAAGGCAAGUAACUUGGCAAAGAAAAGAAAACCAACUUGAAUUAAUUACCUUGAAGGUUUUUGUUAAAGAACGGUAUAUCUUGAAGCAAAAACCAAAACGAAAAUCUAAGGUCCACAAUAAAGAAAAUUAAAAAUCCAUAAGAAUGAAAAUUAAAGGUCCCCAGGAACAAAAAUCAUCUACCAAAAUGACAAUCAAAGGUCUACAAAAACAAAAAUGAAAGCUAACGAAAUCUUAGGGUUCAAUUACCUUUAUGUUCAUCUAAUCGACAUUGGAACAAUGUCAUUGGAGGCAUAACGGUCAUCGCUUUUGGUUCUUGGCAUCGAUCUUGAUGAGAGAAAUUUUAGGGUUUUAUUGCAGGAAAGAUGCAGAAUUCGAUUGAUGCAAAUUUUGAUUUUGGCUAAAAAAUUAUGAGUGGUGAUUUUGGAAUUAAAAUAAUUUAAAGAUAACAUUUUAGAUAUUAAUUACAUCCUAUAUAGAUUUUGAGAUAAUCAGAUUUUUCAAAGCAAGUUCUUGCUACUUUUUAAUUGAUAAUUAUUUACUGUCAAUUUGACAAAUAUAAAGCAAUUCCAAAAUAUCUCUAAGACUGUAUCUAGAAGAUUAACUUAUCCCUCUCUUUACUAGGAGUAACUUGCCUCGCGGUUCAGAGAAGAGAUUAAUGUCACCGAAAUACUUGUAAUAAAAUCUCAAAAUGUGAAAAGUGGUUGGUAAGAUAAGAUUUCAUUAAUAUUCAGUAACGAGUCCAACGUAGGGAUGGCAAUGGGGCAGAUAUGUGUUGAAUCUACUCUACUCCAGAUCCAUAUCCAUAAUAAAAAUUAAGAUCCAUAUCUGCUCUAGAUCCAUCAUGAUUCUAUAUUUUUCGCUCCAUAUCCAAAUCCAAAAAAGAAAUCAAUAUCUAUAUCUGCUCCAAAUCUGAAAAAAAAAAUUAAAAUUAAAAUCUGUUCUAAAUUCGUCAUGAAUUCUAAAACUUAGCAAUAAAAAAGUAAUAAUUUUUUAGAAUGAAAAUUGAAGGCUAAAAUGUAUUGAUAACAAAUAAAUUAUAUAAUUUUUAAAAAUAUAUAUAAUAAAUAUUGUAACUUAUACUUUUACACAAAACAACAAAUAAGAAAGAUAAUAAAAUAUCCUUCAAAAGUAAUUGCAGGAGUAAAAUCAAUCUAAUAUUAUAUUGUCUCCUUCAUCAUUCUAAUAUUCACGACACAUCCACCAUCAUUUUUACAACAUUAGAUAAUAACAUAUAAAUUAAAUAUGAUUUAUAUUUAGUGCUUUAUUAUUUUUAUUAUGACCAUAUUUGACUAAAUAUAUGAAUAACUAUAUUCCUUAAAAAUUAUAUAGCCAAUACAAUAAAAUAAAUUAUCAGGUUGUAUUACUUGACUUGUAAUUUGAGUAUUAUAUGUACAUGCUUUGUGGCUAGCUGACCUUUAAAUUUACAAAACUAACAUUUAAGUUUGAAGAGUUUAAAUAUCACUAAUGUGCUAUGAAUAAAAUUUAUUAUCAUUAUAAUUCCACAAUUGUUAAGAAACUUUUAAAAUAAAAUAAAAUUAAAAGAUUGGUGAAUAUGGAUAUGGAUUUAGAUAUUAAGAUAUAUCCAGAUCUACUCCAGAUCCAUCUUACACACAUCGAUAUCCAAAUCUGAUCCAAAUUCAUUUUAAACCGACCCAAAUCUGAUCUAAUUGAAUUUGGAUCACAUGAAUUUUGGAUCAAAUACAAUCCAUUGCCAUUUUUAGUCCAACGCAAAUUAAAUUGUUGCCCAGAUUGCAUCUUCUUGGAAAAUUCCGGAUACCCCACGUGCGAGCGAGUAUUCUUGCAAUAAUUAAUGGUGGCAUACCAUCCCAUGCACGGAGUUCAGUUUGACUUGUUUCCCAUUGGCAGAAACUGGUCGUCACGCGCUUUGUCUUGCUUGUCCAAGAUGACUGAGGAAUAAGAACUAUAUUUGAUUUGAUUUGACUUGAUUUUUGGGUUGAGACGUUGACUUGGAACCGUCAGUGCUACAGGUAUUUGAGUUUGACCUCGCCUUGCCUUUUAUUUUAUCAACGUGAACGAGCUGCUUUUCUUUGAUAAAUUGAUAAUUACAAGUCUUACCCUUUAUCCAAAAAAUUAAAAAAAAAAAGUAAAAAAAUUACAAGUCAUACCUACUCACAAUCCCUUACAAACAAACUGGCCUAUCUUUUGGAAAAUUAUAUAUAUAUAUAUUGGAGAAUAUUUUUUUUUUCUAUAUGUCAGUGUAUUAAGAUAUGUAUCUUUUGUUUAUUAGUGGCAUUCUCAUCACUUUGUGAAAAUGAUGAUGUUUUAUAUAUAUACAUUUUCUAAUUUAAGAUUUUAAAGUGCGGAAAAAUUUAGAAAAACUUUAAAACUGUGCGAUUUUAAAUCUUUAUUUUAUAAUGUUAUUAAAUCCCACAGUUUUAAAGUUUUCCCGAAUGUUUCUCACACUUUAAGAUUUAGGACCAAAAAACUGCUAAUGAAGAUAUUUUCAUUUUAAUAGAGUGAGGAUGACACUAAAAUUAAAAAAAGUAUAAAUUUCAAGAUAUUGUAGAUUGUGUUUUUUUUUUACUACUUAAUUUUUCUUUGACGAGAAUAUUUCCAUGUUAAUAAAAUAAGAAUGUCACUAACAGAUAAAUUGAAAGACAAAUAAAAUAUAAAAUCUAUUACAAUAUAUUUUAUCUUGUAGUGUAUUAAAAUAUAUACUUUCUUUGUCUUUCAAAACUUAUUUUUCUUAUUUUAAUAAUUUAAAAGAUCCCUCAUUAAAAAGUUUAUUCUAUACAUAUAUUAAAUUGGCCCAUUUUGAUAACAUAAUAUUUAGUGUAUGAGCUUGAUCAGUAGCAUUAAUAUUAGAUGAGUCGCACCUGAUCACAAUUCCAUAUAACAUAUGUUCAAAGUGAUCCAAAUCGAUGAACAAAUUAUUGUAAUUGACAAGCGCAUGCCGUGCUACAGUUAAAUUGCGAAAACAAUGUACGUAGCACAUUUUUCCUUUCAUGGUGGCCCUCAUAACGUCGAGUUACAAUAAAUCAUAACGCGAUAAUGAUUUAGCGUGCAAUUCCAAUGGACCAGCAGCAAUAUUCAACGCUGAAAGUUAAAUUAAAUUUUGUCUUUUAAUAAUUGUCUAUCAACAAUUUGCUCCAGCAGCCGUUGCUUCUGCUGCCGCCCAUUAUUGCCGGCUCUCCCGCCAUCGGCUGCACAAGGUAAGGUCAACUUGAGGCUUCAAUGUUUCGUGCAUCAUAAUGAUUAUUAAUACAUGAACAAAUGAUUUUACGUAAUUUGGGACUUUAGAUGCUAUUAUUAAUGGUUGUUUGCUGUAAUUUGGGUGUUUAUUGAUUUUCAUUUGCAUUAAAUUUUUUUUUUUUGGGAAUCUAGACUAGAAUUUGAUACACUUGAAAUUGAUUUUGAAACUUUAAGUUACAAUCCAAAUCAAAACUUAUACUCAAACUUUCAAUGAACCGAUCCGAUAUAUAUAUUUCAACCGAAUUAAAUUCAGUUCGGUUUGAUUUGGAUUCGAGUCUCGAGCCUGAAUUGGGUUGAAUUCUUCAACUCAAAGGGGUAUGAAUUUCAAUGUAGAUUUUGAGUGAAAAUGGACAUAAAUUUUGCUACACCACACUUCAACAAUUAACCUUGGGGAAAAAAGGAAAAAAAAAAAAAAAGCAUAUUGUUGCCAUCUUGUGAUUAAUUGUAAUCAGAAAACAAGACAACUAAAUUUUCGUUUACACGUUUUAUUUUAGAGAAUAUCCCCUAAAAUAUAGAUUGGGGAGCAACUGCGCUGCCACCUUAAAAAUGGUGAAUGGAUGAGACCCACCAGUUCAAAUUUUAUGUCUUCAAAUUAGUUCACGAAUAUCUUGUGAUAUUGAAACAAAAAGUUGUGUAUGUCGUAAACAAAAAUGAACGGGCCACCGAAUAUGACGUUGUUGGAGCAUUGGUUGCCCGUGCAGUAGGGUAUAUACUUUAUAUACUGACAAGCUGUUGCUAUCAAUUGGCAAGACGAAAGGACCACGAAAUUAAUAGCGAUCAAAUAUCUGCACAUCCGGUUAAGAGAUUCCACGAUGCAAUUCCGAGAAAUUAAAAUUCGACUUGAUAAUUCUUUUCUGCUUUCCUGAAUUUGUGGUCAGGUGAAGAUGAUUAAGCACAAGUGAGAGUGACUCCGAUUCCACCGACAAUCUGAUCGAAGGACACGUAGAUUUUAAGAAUUAUCCUAACUUUGAGAUAAACUUAGGACGGUUUAAGAAAUUUGUUAUUGUUCUUUUUUUUUUUUUUAUUUGAGGAUAUUUUAUUUAGGCUCCGUAAUUUUUAUAAAUAGUGUUUUUACUAUAAAAAAUUUAGUUGUUUGGUUGUUAAUAAAAAAAUUCAAAGCACUCUCCAAAUUUCCUGUUCAAUUUUAAUUUUUUUAUUUCAAACCAGAAGAAGUAAUAACAAAGUUAACUACUGCUGUACCGUACAUAAAUUUAUGAAAUUAUUUUAAUAGGUAAAUUUUUUAAAAUUAUAUUAUGAAAAAAUUAAAAUAAAAUUGUCAAAUAAGUAGAGGAUAUUUUAAAUAUUUUAACAUUUAAAAAAAGCUUUUCGAUCUCUACUUCUAAAAACGUAAAUUUUGAAUUUUUACUAGUAAAGACGAAAAUAACUUAUUUAAAUUUCAAAAACUCUAUUAGAAAAACAACCAAAUAACAACAAAAAUA
rnacentral:lncRNA from 1 species